AUUAAAAUAGGUUUGGGACCGGUUUGACAGAAACAUGCUUUGAUGCAUAAAUAUUUAGCAUGGAGGUUAAUAUAAUAAGCAACAUGCAUGGAGGUUAAUAUACUUUCUAGUUUCUAUUGUAAGCAAACUUCAAGCAGAGGCACCAAAAUAUCAGGACACCAGAAACUCCAAGUGAGGGUAAAAUGGUCAAUAUAAGGAAAACACUCCCCACAGCAAUCUUGGCAACAAACAGCAAAUUCAGAAAAUCCAAGUGAGGGUAGUUUUUUUCCCAGGUAACUUUUUUGUCCCCUGUGUGUUUUUAACUUAGCUAUUUUCAGCUUUAUGUGUCUUUUUAAACUUUGUGUUUUGUGUAUUGUUUAUAUUCAAGUAGCUGCAGAAAGCACAUUAGAGUGGGAUUUCUUCUUCUUUAUGUCCCCUGUAACGAGAAUCAAGACACAAACAGUGGCGGAUUUAGUGCAUCACAAGUGGGGUUUUGAUCCGGUUUGUAUACAGUUUCAAUCUGAUCAGGUUUCAGCUUAAACCGGUUUUGAGUUUGUUGACUUAAACCCAACUGGUAUUAAAACCGAUCCAAUUUCCAAAAAGAACCUGUUUGUGUACCUCUACAUUUAGGUGUUAAACAAAAUUGGCAAAUUCGUUUCCAUUUAUUAAUUUCUUAUUAAACCUAUAAAAAACAGAUUUCUCAAUCUCUGAACAUAUAAUCUCGUGUCUGAGUGCAUACCUUUUUUACUUGUACAAUAUUUCGGUCAACGUCGUGAAGUGUUUCAUUCAUAUCACCCCAAUUAAAAAUAGCCAUUGAAAUUAAGAUGACUAAUAACACUACUGGUAAAAUGCUAGGUUUAUAUCCUUAUAUAGGUUUGAAUACCCAAGCAUAAAGCGUGUAUGAGCACUAGUAUCAAAUUUAUUGGUGCUAUCGCUAUAAUAGCAAUGCAUUAAAAAGGCUUGUGUUGCAAUUUUCACAAUCAGAUCAAGGCAUCUUCUUCCACAAGAGCUCGUGUAUUAAACCACAAUUUUCUUGCAACUUUUAACGUGACGUGGGGGAUGGAAAGAUUGAUGGGCAAUCGCUAGCCAAUGUUGCCUAUUGGACAAUAUAUAACAGGGGGAAAUAAAGGAAUCCUCUUUUCAAAUUUCAACCCAUAGAUAUAUAGCAAUGUAAUCUAGCUAGCUAGAGAUUAAUAUACUUUUGCCAAGAUGCCUGGUAACUACAAAGCCCAAAAGUCAAAACUUCUAGUUGUUUACGAUGACAACACACAGUAAUUAAGUCAUCUUCUUUCAACAAAUUCUGCUAUAUCAUGUGUGAGUUCAAUGAAGGUCUCUUCUUUGCAUGGGAGCGUUAGACCUCCCAUAGGAUGAUCAUAUCCAAACUCUUCUUCCGAUAGCUUCAGCAAGGUCUGAAACGAAGGAUGUUCUAGGUAUGUUAUGGGAAUUAUAAAUCUCUUGUUUGUGCCUUCACCAACAUAUACUGUGAUACAGCCUUUUGGUACAUCAUUAAUGGUUGCUGAGGCUGAAUGAUAUCUUGGCAUUAUUCCCAGCUUGCCACGCAAGAUUUUUGGAAAUCUGUGUAUGCCCAUGAUCACAAUGAAAAUCUAACUUCGAAAUUAAUUAAAACUAUUUGAUGGCAGAGAACACGAGUAUCGAAGAAAAUUUGGGGAGAAGCUCAAUAAGUUGAGUUUCCAUACAAAACGAAUAUGGGUAUAUAUAGGCAUCUAGUUGCUACAAAGUCCAGAAUGCGAAACUAUCAACAGAAUCAAUUUUCGAAAAUUUCUAUAAAUUUAAUUUGGAUACUCCGCAUCUUAUACCUUUUGGAGCAUCCAAAGAUAAAAUUCUCUUUGGUAUCACUGUUAUGUUUGCAUACAGAAAGUACCGUGAAUAUGAAUAUUUGAGAUAAUCUUAGUGUGGUCAUUUUGGAUUAUACCAAUUGUACUAUACCAUACUAGUACGUAUUCCAUAUUAUUUAAUAAUUUUCCAAACCAUUUUAACAAAAUGCUCCCAUGUCACUACAAGAAAGUUGGGUUUUAGCAAACAUAAAAUUUAUGAUAGAUAAUCUUAGUGUGGUGAUCAUAUGGGAUUAAAACAAUUGGACAAUGCUUCACUUACAUUUAUCAAACAGGAAAUUUCUGAUUGUAAUCGUCUUUUACUUUUUGGAUGUAACAUGUUAUCAUUAAUUAACGUAGUUGCCUAUAAUCAGGUUAUUAAUUCUAUCAGAUAACAACCAAAUUAUAUGCCAUUCUCUAUUUUAGGGAACAUGUAGGUCAUUGGAGUUUGACGAGUUUUUUUUCAAAAAUGGGUAGUAUAGAAACCUUUUGUAAAAAUAGGUUGAUUUUUAUUCAAUUUGCAAAAAUAGGUUGUUUUUUUGUGGUCCCACAUAAAAAUCAAUGUAUUAAUAUACACUUUUACAUUUUGGCCCCUUCAACUUUUAUAAUAACCUCACAAGUUAUAUGUUAUAUUUGUUUUAUAUCUUUUUAAAUAGGAAUAAUUUCAUUCAUAUCCUUGGAAACUCUAAAUAUUACUUCUAUAUCCUUAUAAAAUUUAAAAUUACAUAUAUAUCAUUCUCAAACUAUAAAACUCUCACAUAUAUAUCCAAAGUGAUAAUUUAAUUAGGAUUAAAUUAAUCUAAUAUUAUAAAACUUAUCCAAAAAUAAAAAUUGCAUGUGUUUUACUAAAAUNGAACUCAAAUUUGUUGGUGUUAAUCAAAACUAGGUCAAAGCCACAUGUUUUAUUUCUGGGGCAUUUUAGUCUUAUUUGUUUAGUGUAUUUGAUUUGGUAUUGCAUAGUUUUAGGAGUCAAAUAAAUAAUAGUUUGUUACUGAAUAGGUGGUAGUAAUGGUCCUAGUUUCUAGGUAUCUUUUUAGUACUUAAACUCUCACUACAAGAAAUGAGGGUAUUAGCGGCCACACCUUUAGCGGCGACGCCUAGCAUUAGCGGCGACAUGUAAUUGACGCGUUACAUGUCGCCGCUAAAGGUGUCACCGCUAAUGCCCCCAUUUAGCGAUCUGCGUGAAACGAGCCCCAUCCGUUCGAUUUGGUUUCAAUCGUAGGGUUUAAACGGAGCAAGAAAAGGUGCUGACUUUUCCCUCCAGGUGGUCGCCGCUAAUGCCUCCUCGUCGCCGCUAACUCCUCAGCGUCGCCGCUAAAGCCCUUUACAGAUAACCCCCUUCCAGCUUCCUUUUCAUUCCUUUCUGUGUAUCGUGUCUGUGAAACCCAGCCGACUCAAUUUCAUUCGACGAUCAAUCGCGGCAGCCAUCAUUCUUGCCACAAGACCGCCAACACCGCCGACCCAGCCUCCAUUCCGUCAAUUUCGUCGAAGACUCGUAUCACCGGCGACGACGAAUCAUUAUACCGGCGACGAGGAAGUAAAUCCGGCGACCGCAGAUGGUUUUUGCCUCCUUCUCCAUCGUUUUUUUUUGUUUUAAUUUUCUUCUCCUACUGAUUUAAGAGUGGUAUUGUUGCAGCCUUUGUAGAUUUUUUCAAUCUCUAGCGGGUUUUUUUUCGUUUUCUGCCGGAAUUUUGCCGGAAAAAACUUGAUUGUCGGAAAUUUGUGUCAAUACGUCAUCACCACCCUUCUCCACUAGAUUACACAACCAGGUUCCUUUAUAACUUAUGUAUUUUUGUAUUUAUAUUAUGUGUAUGUACAUAUGUAUUUGUAUGUGUUUUUGUAAGUAUGUAUAAUGUAUGUAUAUUUGUAAUGUAUGUAUAAAUGCAUGUAUAUAUGGUGAAAACAGAAAAAAUUAUAUAUGUUUAUGUACGUGUGUUCAUUUGCCAUAUGUGUAUAUGAAUUUGUAUGUAUAAGUCAAUAUGUUUAUAUAUGUAUAUUUGUUUACCAUUUAUGAUUGAAAUGUAUCUAUAAGUGUAUUUUAAUAUGUUAAUUUUUACCAUUUGUGAUUGAAAUGUAUGUAUAAGUGUUUUUAAUAUGUUAAUUUUUACCAUUUGUGAUUGAAAUGUAUGGGUAAGUGUAUUUUAUUAUGUUAAUUUUUACCAUUUGUAAUUGAAAUGUAUGUAUAAGUUUUUUUUUAAUAUGUUAAUUUUUUACAAUUUGUAUGUAUAUGUAAUAUGUGUAUGUAUUGUAUGCAAUUUGGAAACUAGAAUGCUAUAAUGAAAAAAAUGAAGAAAAAAAAACAAAAAAACAAAGUAGGAUGCGAUAAUGGAAAGUAUUAUUAUUUAUAUGUGUAUUUGUAUGUAUAGAAAAUUACAUAUAUAGUUUGUGUAUUUGUAUGUCAUUUGGAAACUAUAAUGUUGUAACUUUUAUUCAUAUUGUGAUUUUGAGUGUCGACCAAGCCUCUUGUUUGGCUGUAAAUUGAUGAUUUUUGAGUGAUUAUGUAUGUUUUAUCAUAUUUUAUGGAAAAAAAGUAAGAUGUUAUAUUGUGUAUGUAUUUGUAUGCAAUUUGGAAACUACAAUGUUAUAAUAGAAACUGUAUUAUUUUUGUAUGUGUAAAUUGUAUUCAUAUUGUAAUUUUGCAGGCUAUAUAUGCGGUUUAGUUGGGCGAUACUCUUCUACGUGAUGGUGGAUGUUAUAGGCUUAGGACAUGGAGGUGAUGGAGCCGGGGAUCCACCACCUCCCGUAGGCUUUGGUCGUGGUCAACACGAACAGGACGAUAAGUCUUAUUAUGAUAUAUUUGUUAGAUAUUUUUAUCCAUUUAUUAUAAUCUAUCGUGACUAAAAUUUUUAAUUAUAUUUUUCAGCUGAGCUCCCUAAGAAAGAAGAGGCCUAGCAAAAAACAUUCAACUGUCAAAGAUAAUACGGGCAAACAAGGGAAAGCCUGUAGAUUUGGAUUUCGAUAGGGAGCUGAUAUAUUCCUCUGUCGGGAACCAUGGUAAUUGGUUUACCUGUGAGAUUGGGAAGUAUAUAUGGAUGAACAUCCCUUUGAACGUAUCUGGUUGGGAUAAUGUUUCCCCCGCUUUAAGGAAUGCCACAGUGGUUCAUUUAAAGGUAACUUGGACAAUAUUUUAAGUUUAGUUCUAAUAGGUAUUUAACUAACUAACUUUUUUGUAUUUGUAGAAUAAGUUUGAUUUAGAUAAGGUUAACUUGAAUCCCGAGCAUGCUCAGUUGUUGCAGAGCAUUGAUGCGACCUUGCAAAGAAUUUAUAGAGACCGAAAAAAUAAAGCGCAUACUUAUUUUUAGAAUGUCGGGGGGCUUACAGAUAUCCCAAGGGCAUUAGCCAACCUCCUCGAUGGUAUGUCACGUGAAAAUUGGGCGCAAGCAGUCGAGCAUUUUCAAACUCCUGAAUUUCUAAAGCGUUCGGUGUCAAACAAAGGAGUCCGUGCACAACAACAAGUUGUAAACAGAGGGGGAUCGUGCUCGUAUAACAAUGCAUGUUUCAAAGAAGUAAGCUAUGAUAUAUUUAACUGUUUAUUUAAAUUAUAAUUAAUCUAAUUUUAAUGUUAAAUAGGACAUCGCUCGAAUCGAAGCAUUUCGUAAGGCCAAUACUGAUCGCCAAGGGGUGUUUAGUAGUCCUGCAGUCGAGCAACAAUACGUAAGUGGUUAAUUUGUAUUUUCAUAUAAGUGCUUAUAUCGUCAAAAGGGUAGUUAGUAAUCUAAUUUUUAUUAUAUUUAUUUCUUUUUUGAAAAUACAGAAUGCUUUACUCUUUGAGAUCAGUCAACAAACUCAAGCUUCUUCUGAAGCCAGCGGUCUAACACCAAAGGAUACACAAAAUUGUUUUGAAAAAAUAUUGGGUGUUCGACGUGGCCAUAUCAGAGGCAUCGGGCGUAAACCUUCUACGGUUGUGUCGAUGUACGAUCAGGAACAACCACUAACACAACCACCACCACAAUCACAGGUGACAAGACUAUUUAAAUUUGGUAAUUGUUUAAAAUGUUGGUAAUUGUGGGUUUAGUAAUAGUUUCAAAUUUUGGUAAUUGUUAGUUUGAUAGUAGUUUAUAUAUUGGUAAUUGUUAGUUUUGUUAUAGUUUGAUAUAUUGGUAUUUUAUAGCUUGGUAAUUGUUAGUUUGGUUAUAGUUUGAUAUAUGGAAUGUAUAUUUUGUAUAUAGAAUGUUAUAAUGCAAGUUUAACUUAUAAGACUAUGUUGUUUUAUUUGUAGUUGGAAAUGCUUCAAACAAUGUUAAAAGAUCCGGCAUGUAGUGCUGCGCUUGAAGAUUGGUUUCGUUCGUUGCCACAACGAAAUGAAACUGGAGGAAACGAGGAGAGCGAUGAUGACGAGUAGAUAGUUGUAGGAUUUUUUUAUGUUUUAUCUGUGCAAGUAUUUUAGACUAGUAUUUUUGUUAUUUUGUUAUAUGUUAAAUCGGACGAGUAUUUUAAACGGAUACUGUAUUAAUAUUUUGGAAUUGAAUGAUGUAGGAUUAGAUUAAUUAAUAUCAUACCAGUUUUUUUNNNNNNNNNNNNNNNNNNNNNNNNNNNNNNNNNNNNNNNNNNNNNNNNNNNNNNNNNNNNNNNNNNNNNNNNNNNNNNNNNNNNNNNNNNNNNNNNNNNNNNNNNNNNNNNNNNNNNNNNNNNNNNNNNNNNNNNNNNNNNNNNNNNNNNNNNNNNNNNNNNNNNNNNNNNNNNNNNNNNNNNNNNNNNNNNNNNNNNNNNNNNNNNNNNNNNNNNNNNUAUAUAUAUAUAUAUAUAUAUAAAAGAAAAACACCAAUAUCGGCGACGCCUUUAGUGGCGACAAUAGGUUAUUACCGGCGACCCGUCUUUAGCGGCGACGUGAGCUUAUUAGCGGCGACAAGUCUUUAGCGACGACAGACACGCAUUAGCGGCAACAAUUUGAUUAAUAGCGACAAAACAUCAGCGUCGACGUUUUAGCGGCGACAAGCCCCACUUUUAGCGAUGACGCCUGUCGCCGGUAAUACUCUACUUUCUUGUAGUGUCUUGUAAUCGUUGGUAGUGUGCAAUGGAAAAACACAUAAAGUUAGUCCCAAACACCUCUGUUUUGUUUAUCGUCUUUUGACAGCAAUUGUGUGUUGUGUUUUGGCACCCAUCUGUGCAGGUUUAGUUUUAACAAAAUUAACUAGAAUUGUUUAAAUGUUAUUGGUUCUAUUCUUAUUAUUGGCUUAUUGUUGCAAUUAAUUUAACUGCAUGUGACUAAUAUCUGCAGCAUUAGUGACAUGUUACCGAUGGGUCUCACACAAAAACUAAUAAUUGAUUUCUAAAGCCAACCUAACCGAUUAGCUAAGGAUAUAAGUCCAUGGUUAAUCCAUCAAAAAAGAUUUAAAAAUUACGCAGAUUAGCAUAAGAAUUAUAUAGUAUCUAAUCGACCAAAUUAAAUUUAGUGGCUAUAGGCUAGCAACGACAUUACACUCAAGGCAAAAGACUAUAGAGACAUGCUACAAUACAACCAAACUAAUAAACACCUAUGGAAAUAGUUUUGUUUUGUUUUUUUUUUGUUUUUUUUAAUCACCCUCAAAUAGUCAUUUUUCAUAAGGAACAUUUUCCUGACUUUUUUUAAAACAGCUUAUGAUUUAUAAAGAGACAAAAUUGCAAAAAUGGUCCCUGUGUUUGGCAAAAUUAUGCGACUUUGGUCCAAAACGAUACUUUGAUGCACCACUGGUCCAAAAUUGGAUUUUUUCAUUGUUUUUGGUCCCUCCCACUAACUUCCGUCCAUAUACUCCGUUACAUGCAACAAAGACGGGGGUAUUUUCGUCUUUCCACUUACAGGGACUUUUUUUGCAACCUUAUUCAAAAUAAAAGCAGAGCUACAUCACUCUUCCAUCUUCAACUUCACGAGCUUCAUAGUCUUCCUACUCUGUGUUCACAAUUUCUUAGAGAUCAAAAAUUAAAAUGGUGAUGUGUUUCUGUGGUAGGGAAGCGGUCGUUCGCACCUCCUGGACAUCAGCAAACCCUGGUCGGAGGUUUCUUUCCUGCCCUCAAAAGGUAAGUGUUCGAUUUUGCUAUUUUACCCUCAUUUUGGAAAAUCACCCUCAUGUUUAGGGUUUAUUUUUUUACGUGAAGGGUUCCAGAUGCCGAUUCUUAGGAUGGAUUGAUCCUCCCAUGUGUGCAAGAUCUAUGUUGAUAAUACCCGGAUUAUUGAGGAAUAUCAACAAUGUAAACUAUCAAGUGGCAAGAUUGAAGAUGUGUUUGUUUGCAAGUUGGUUACUAUUUGUGGUGGUUUGGGUGCUUUUCAUUUAGUAAUAAGCAAUUAGGGACCCCUGUAGUUGCAUGUAAUUUUGGGGGUUUUUGGUCUUAUGAAAUUGUAACAAGGGAAUGUGGUAGUUUUUGGUAUUUGAUAAUGUAAUAUCAGUUUAGGGUUAUUUUGGACAACUUCAGAAUUUUGUACCCUUUUCAAGGAUAUAAUGACAAUGUAUUGCAGUUAUCACCUAAUGUUAAUGUUUAUUUGUUGUUUCAGAAAAAAGUUGUUAUAACCAUAAAUGUGUUCCAUAAACAUGACAACCAACAGUUGGUAUAAACCAUAAACAUCAUUCUUCAACAAUGACAAAAGGUUGACAUUAGUUUCAUGACCAAAAGGGCUAAAAGACCAAAAUAAAACCAUUACAACAAACUAGUUUUAAACCAUUACAUCCAAAUGCACAAAAGUUGUGCUAAACCAAAAGAUAAGUUUUUAAACAAAAUACACUAAUUCCUGCAUUGACUGCUACCUCCAUUCCCUCCUUGACUGCAUCAUGUAUUCCCUCCUUGACUGCUUCCUGCAUUCCCUCCUUCAUUGCUUCCUGCAUUCCCACCUUGACCCUUGCACGUCCUUGAGUUAUGACCCCUAUUGUUGCAUUUCCCACACCUGACACUAACAAACUUUCUGGUAAGUUUUUCAGGUUCACCUGCACCAUGAUUUUGCAUCUGUUUAUCAUAUUUUUCAUCUGCACUUCUCUUUCUCUUGGUCUUAGGUCUUCCAGGUUGAUUGUGAUGUGGUGGUGGUGUUAAUUGAAAUGGACAUGUACUUUUUGGCCACAUGGCUCUACCCUUUAUAGGGUCCACAGUGUAAGAGUAAGCUUCAUUCCAUGUUUGAAGCCAAUACACUUUGUUGACAUAAGUGUAAAGCUCCCCAACUUUGUCUCCACUAUCAGCCAUUUCAUGUAUUGUAGCUAUGGCAUGCCUGCAUGGAAUCCCAUUCAAUUCCCACCUUCUACAUGUACAUGACAUAUUUGUCAUGUCAACCACAUGCUGGUCAUGCCAAGGACCAUAAACUUCAUACUUUGCAGUCCCAUUCCAUCUAGCUCUAUAUUGGACUGAAGCUUCCCUAUUUCUCUCAAGUAACUUUGAUGCUGUUGGAGUGAGUGGACCUGGAGCUUUGGACAUCACUUUCUUCACAUUGCAGAUCCUCUUCAUUAGGUACUGCCUGAUGUACUCAAGACAACUUAUGAUGGGCUUAUUCCUACCAUGAAUAAGCUUACUGUUGAAAACUUCACAUAAAUUGUUGAGCAAUAUAUCUGAUCCUGCUCUGCCUGUAUUAAACAAGAAAAUUAUAUGAAAUAAUCAUAUACAAAGAGGAAUAGUAAAGCUUCACCUAAGCUAGGGAAUAUAACCUGAAAAGUGGCUUCUGGCCCAAUGGUGAGGGGGGAUUUUCUUCAACCACUCAAAAGCAUCCUUAUCAAACUUGUUAAGUUCAUUCAUGUAGUGUUCAAAUUCUGGUACUGUGGUUGCUAUUGCACACUGCCAUAAGUGAUCUUUAUACUCUUUUGUUUUCCAUUUUUUCCUCAUGUUCUCAUAAAUAUGUCUUAGACAGAAUCGAUGCUCAGCCUGUGGGUAUAGUUGUGCAAUAGCAGGUAAGAGUCCCUGUAAAGGAUUAUUCCACAUAAUCAUUGCAACAAUCAUAUACAAAUAAACUAUUAGUAAUACAAAAAGAAGAAAAUAGUACCUUUUGUCUAUCACUCAUGAAAGUAAAGUUAGAAUUUGAGUGCAACUCUAAGUCAUCUCCCAAGCAUUCUAGAAACCAUUUCCAGCUACUCAUAUUUUCAGUCUCAACAAUGGCAUAUGCAAGUGGGUAUAUGCCGUUGUUUGAAUCCAAUCCAACUGCUGUGAGUACUUGGCCUGGAAAGGGUCCUUUCAUAAAAGCACCAUCUAGUCCCAGAAUAUCUCUUAAGCCUGCUUUAAACCCUUUCUUUAAUGCCCCUAAGCAAAUAUACACCCUUUUAAACUGCCUUGUUUCUCUAGUACUGUUAGGCUCAUUAACAACCUCAAGCUUCACAGUUGUACCCACAUUAGUUGCUUGUAGUUCCAUAAGAUAAUCUCUUAACACCUCGUAUUGCUUUGUGUAGUCACCACUCACUUGCUUUGUAGCUGUUGCUUUUGCUCUCUGUACUUUGUGUAUGGACACACCAACUUGAAGCCUCUUCUGAACUUGCUCUUGAAUGCUUCGAAGGGGUACUGUAGGGUUAGACUCGACCAUGUCUAAGAUUUCUGCAGAUAUAUACUUCGCAGUGCAAGCCCUAAGUUUUCUAGUUUGAACACAAGUAUGUUUGUCCAGUAAAGUUUUCACAUACCAAUAAUCACUAUCUUUUGACCGUGAAGUCUGCAUUGACCAAGAACAAUUUAAUUUAUUGCCCUUACCUACCCCACUUGCAUUUACAUUAGGUACAUUACCUUUACACACAACCCUAAGCCUUGUUUUGUCGUUUUUCUUGAAGCCAAGAUUCCUUCUAGUCUCAAUGGCAAGUUUGUUGACUUUGUCCUUAAUUUCCUUUUUACUUUUAUACUUUUGACCCACUUGAAAAGUAACUGCAUGGACUUCACCAAGAGAGCACUUCUUCUCCUUCACCAUCUGUUUUAAUAUUGCUUUCCUUCUUUCAUCAUCACUAUCUUCACCUAAUGAGUCCCAUUCAUCAUUAUCAAUUACUUCAACAUCUUCAACAUCUUCUGUAUCAACAACUUCAUUUUCAGUCUCAACACCUUUUCCUCUGUCAACAUAUUCAACAUCUAGAUCAACAUUCAUAUAGAAAUCACUCAUGUCCACCUCAAUAUCACUUACAUAGUUUUCUUCAUCUUCAAGAAAGUCACUGUCUUCCUCACUCCCUUCACUACCCCCUUCACUACCCCCUUCACUACCUCCUUCACCAAGUCCUUCACAAACUCCCUCACUUUCAAAUUGAACUUCACCUAAUCCUGUGCCAAGUUCUGCACCAACAGUUGCAGUGGGCACAUCAUCUGCAUCAAAGAAAGGAUCAAAGUCUUCAAAUUGAAAUGGUUGGCCAUCAAAGGUAUCAAACUCUCUUGUAUUUACUUCUUGGUCACCAAGAUUUGCAGCUUGAUCAUGAACUUCUGUCUCUUGAUCACCAACAGGUGCACCUUGAUCACUAAUAUUUGCACCUUCAUUACCAAUUUCAACAUGUGCAUCUUGAUUACCAACAGUUUCACCUUGCUCACUAAUGUCUUGAUCACCAACAGUUGCACCUUGCUCACUAAUAUUUGUACCUUCAUUACCAAUUUCAACAUCUGCAUCUUGAUCACCAACAGUUGCAGUGUGUUCCAAGUUGAAACACAAUUUCUUACUACAUGAUUGACUCCCAUCAACUAACCUCAAUCUCUUAUUUGAAUUGUAUUCGGGUGUCUCAUAUCUUACUAAACACAAUUCAAGAUUUGGGACAUCUUGAUCACCAACAGUUGCAGUGGGCACAUCAUCUGCUAUUUCCUCAAUUAUGACCCUAGGUUUAACUCUUGGAGACAUAAAGUAUGUAAGUAACUUAGUUUCAUUAUGUUCAGUGUAUACCUUGAUGAUCUUAUGAUGUUCAAUGUACUGUGCAAGACUAAGUACAUCAAUAUCAUUCCCUAGAGCUCUAAGACCAAACUCCAAAUCUCCAUUUGGCAAUUGAUAGUGGUAGUAAAUGACUGGUGGUACAUCAUAACCAAGCUUCAGCAUCACCUCGUCCAACUCAUGCACAGAGAACUCAUCCAUGUCUACCAAGUCAAUGUGGUCUAAUUUUCCUUCAUUGUAGCUUAUCCCUGGAAAUUUUGUGAACCUCCCUCCAUGAUGGAGCUCAAUAGUGAACAUCGUGGGAUGUCCUUCUGUAAAAAUCAUGAACCAAACCAAAAAAACAUUACUUUAUAUGGAUUGUAAAAGAUUUUUUUUUUGUUUCAAAGAAAUAUGUAAGAAACAGAGUACGUUACCGUAAAUUCGGAUUGCAUCAAAACACUGAUUUCUUGGCCUGAUUUCCCACAUUUGGACCAUACUCGUGGAUUCAAACUUACGAUUGCGGUUGAUGACCAAAUGCAAGAUUUCAAUGAACGAUUAGGGUUUUCGAUCAACGAAGUGGGUUUAGUGCGUAGAGUGAAGGGUCAUUAACUGUGUAUAUCAUUCAAUAUCGCGGUAAUCGAUGAUAUGGAGGUGGAAAGACGAAAAUACCCCCGUCUUUGUUGCAUGUAACGGAGUAUAUGGACGGAAGUUAGUGGGAGGGACCAAAAACAAUGGAAAAAUCCAAUUUUGGACUAGUGGUGCAUCAAAGUAUCGUUUUGGACCAAAGUCGCAUAAUUUUGCCAAACACAGGGAUUUUACGAUUUCACAACCAAUCCACUAAGUUGUUGAGAUGAUGUUCACCGGUGGAUAUGGAUAGAUAGUGAAGGGACAAAAAGAAGAGAGAGAAAGAUAGAAAAUGUGAGGGACUAGAUAGCCUAACCAAUCAAAUGCAUCGUCUUUGUACGUCUCCAUGACCACUCCACAGCCAACUCAUCGGUGCUUGGGGCGGUGUUGAUGCGUCUUCAGGGCUGUGCCACAUAGGAGCUCAUGCGUGGUUUGGAGCACCAUAUAUACCGGAUAACCUAAUACCUCCAUUAAAACGUAACACUUUUAGCUUGUAAGUUAAUAUUUUUAUAGACUUUGAUAAGUUUGUUCACACUUGCGUAUCGAGCGAGAUUACACACAUCAUUAUCAUUAGAUAAUACACGAAGUCCAAAAUCUAAGUCUCCAUUUGGAAAACAAAUGUGGUAGUAGAUGACAGGUGGAGCAAUGUACGUUAAGUACUUUGUCCCAAUAGAGUGUAGUCCAUGCAAGAGAAUUCAUCUAUGUCUACCAAGUUAAUGUAAUAUCUCUCAAACCCAUCAAUAUAAAUGAUACUUAAAAAUUUGGUGAACUUCCUACCAUGAUAAAGCUCAAUACGAACAUGAUAGGAUUUCCAUCUUCAAACAACAAACAAAGAAAGGUAUAUUUGGAAUGGUUAGAAACUUAGAAUUAUGCUUUAUAGUGAGUUAAUCAAAAGCAACAUGUUAACCAUAAAUAAGCCUUCCCUCACUUCUCUCAUUUCCAUCCCGAUCGUCAUCCCAUAACUUUUGGAAAUUCAUCACCUUCAUCCCUCAUAACCCACAUAAUUUAUUUAGUUUUGUUAAAAGAAUAAAUAAACAAUUACUAAUUAAAAAAAUUAAAUAAAUAAAACAAAUUUAAAAGAAUUUCAUAAAAAAAGUAAACUACGACAAACGGUAAAUAAAUUCAUAAAACUACAAUUACAAUUUGAAGACAUUAAUUAUAAAAAUAUUGAAACAAUAAUUAAAAGUCGUUUCUUGGCGAUCACCGAGUUCAACAUCCUGCUACUUAAAUGGUCACGAGGCACAAGAAAGAACUACAUAUUUUUCGUCUCGUACCACUUUGUUAGGCCGUAUCUCCUCCUCCAAAAGUGCCAUUUUCUUUUGCUUUACAUCUUCUACGAGUCACAAUUUAUUAGGCCGAUAUCACUUUCUCUCUUCUUACUAUUUUUUUGUUUUGAUAGAAGAUGCCAUCAAUUGCAAUGGUGAGUUCAUUAAGUUCAGAGAGUUGUGAGGAUGUGGAUGUCGAUUCCUUCCCUUUUUGCUGCCUACAUGGCAAUGUGUUAACAAGAAUCGCUUCACGCUCGAUGUUGAAAUCAUAUUGAAAUUAUGCAUCCAAAAAAGUUAUGUACAUGUUGGAGUAAGAUGUUUUGGUAGUUUUGUAUGGAGGAGGUGAUUCUCACCGUAUUUGUUGACGCGGAACCAAUUCUUGUGAAAUUUUAAAAUACCCCAAACCACAUUGUGUGGAAAAGCUUUCAUUUUAUAGAGUUUUUGAUACUAACUUUUUGUCGACUGUAAAAUAUCAACGCAUGCCAUUCAUCUUUUGGUUGAAGAUGCGAUUGAAAUUGUUACAUUUCUUUUGCCUAUUAUUUCAUUUGGAGUUCAUUUGAUGGUUUGAACGAUUCGACCCUUAGUUGCUCUUUAAAUUGUUCGAGAAUUCGCUCUCCAAAAGCAAAUGAUAUGUUAAUUUCAAUGUUCGCUAUCUUCCGAAAUGUCAAGUAUAAGCCUUCUUCAACACCACUUCUGUCUUUUCGGCUAAUUUUUUUUUUAGAUUUUUGACAUCUGGUAUAAUUUAAUUCGGUGUCAAGAGUAGGUUAGAAUGUUGCUUGUUUCUUUAUUAUGGGUUUUAUGGAUGGGAGCGGGUUCGGUGCUUGAUUCUUUAGAUUUUUUUGAGAAUCAUAGAAUUGCGAUGCUUCUGGAGUAGAAUAUUGGAAUUGGUCCUUAAUGAUUAUGAAUUUUAGGGGAACAAAUUAUAAGCAAUAUUUUCUUCAUAUACCCAAAACUAGUUAUACGCUUGUUGCAUCAUUAGUGGGUUAUAUUGGGGUUGAUAUUAUGGGUAUAGAGGAUAAUUUAGGAUUAGGGUUUCGUGAAUGGAAUAUGGAAAAUCUUGAGAACCACUUCUAGUUUUGUUGCUUGGUUGCGUCUUUGGCUUGAACUCACUUUUUUGGAUUUGCUACAAACUAUAAUCCAUUUGAAAUGAAAUUGGAGAAGGUUGGAAUGAAUUAGGCUAGAGGGAGUGGUGCCACACUUGCCGUACUAAAAGUGUCGUCACAUAGGAUUUAUGACAAUGCAUCAAAAGUUUACCAAUAAGAGGGCGUGGGUUGCCAUUUUUACCAUGCUAUUGUUAUUUUCUAAAAUUAAUUUACAUAAAAAAUAAUAAGUUUAAACAAAUUAUUUUUAUAAAAACUAAAAUUUCAUUAAAUUUGAAAGGAAAUUACAACAAACCUAAAAAACCACAACAUAUAAAUUAAAAAUAUAAAACAUAGAAAUUAAAGUUACGAAAUCUAGACAUUAAAAUAUGAAAUAUAGAUGAACCUAAAGGACAUCUUAAUCGGAUUUUUGACAUUUUGUUGAAGUAGUUCUUCGAUGUGCUGGUCAGCGGAUUGAAUUACAUCUAUGAAUGACUAAUUCUAACACCGUAUAAAAAACUCGACGAGGAAGAUGAAUAUGAUAUUUUAGAGAGAACCGAUAAAUAGAUUUUGAUGUGGUAAGUAAUUGUAUGUGAGGUUGUAUUUAUAGGUAUUAAAAAAGUAAAAAAAAAAAUAAUGAGAGAGAUAGAGAGAGAAAAAAACUUUAUUUCUUUAUUUCUAUUAUUAUUUUUCGCUUUAUCUCCUACUCGGAACAAUAUAGCCGGAGGUAUUGCCGAUACCGCCUGCCUUCAACAUACCCUCGUCUAUGUCCACCCAUAGGUAUGCUAAAUCAUUAAUGCUAAUCCGUUCUCCUUAACUGAAAUAGCGGUAAACAAAUAAAAGAGGGGACUAACAUGAGCAGACAAAAAUGUUCUACUUAAUGCGGCUUAAAUGAGAAAAAAAAAAUGAAGAAGUUUAUAUUGAGCGACCAUAACCAUAAUAAAUUUCAGCUUUUAAACCAGCAAUACACCAAUAUUAUAAUACACGUGAAAAGGUUGUGAACCGCUUUCAUUUUUUUUUUUUUUCAAAACGUAAGGACCAAAAUUGUAGUUUAAUCUAUUAUUUAACAAAAUAAUUUAAAAUAGAGAAAAUGACAAAUAUAGCAAAUUACACUAAUUACAUUACAAAUUUAGCAAAAAAAAAUCGAAUUUGCAAAAAUGGCCAUGAAAAUUGCAGAUGGGAAUGAUCCAUUUGCGAUUUGCACAUUCCAUCUGCGAAUGUACAAGUGUGCUUUAGCCUCUUGUACAUUCGCAGGUGGAUUGAUUUUUAAUUUUUUUUUUUUUGUAUAUAUAGGGCAUUUCAGGGUUAAAAUCAGUCCAUCUGCGAUUUUCUCUGUAUUCCAUCUGCGAAUUUGCGUUUUUUUUUUUAAUUUUUAAUUUUUUUUAAUUUGACUAUGAAAUCAAUUGGUUUGACUAUGAAAUAAUGUUACUAUAUAUAAACUUUUGUAGAAAAUUAUCAGUUUAGUUGUUAUUUGUUUAAGAAAUUUCUCUAAAAUCUCUUUAAAAAAUGAUUGAAUAUUUGGUUUGUCUUGUAACCGGUAGGAGAUGGCAAGUUAUUAAAACAAAUCUGGAAUACGUAUGUCCACAGGGAGGUAUUUCUGAAUUUGCUUUGAUAUUUUCUGAGUAUAUUAGUUAUAGUGAUUUUGUAUCUUUGGUGAGAAGCAAAAUUGGUUUGUUAGACAAAUAUAAAAUUAGUCUUCGUUUCCAUCAUCCUGAAUUAAAUUAUUAUAUAUCUAUAGUUGAAGAUAUGGAUGUUAGAAUGUUGAUAAAUGUAAUCAAAUGUAGUGGAGGAAGGGCUGUGAAAGUGUUUGUGGUGGUUGAUGAAGUAGAUGAGGUUAAUGAGGGUGGUCACAGUGAAAAUCAUCCGGUUGGUAAUUUAUGCAGUUAUAAAGGUAGCAACGAUCUGAUAGGUACUUUCAAUACUCCUAGUGUACCUCAGUUUCACAGUGUUGCUGAAAAUGUUAAUGUUAGUUAUUCACCUAUUAACUAUGUGGAUCCUGAGAAUUACAAGUAUGUUGGUGAUGAUGAUGUUGGUACAUAUCUUAAUGAUGUGGGUGGUCGUUGUGAUGAUGUUGCCGAACAAGAAGUUAAAGUUAUGAAUAGGCGUGUGGUAGAUAAAAGUAAAAAGAAAAAAAAAAUAGAGUCAAAAAAAUGAAAAAAACAUGUUUACGGGGAUUAUGUUGAUGUUGCUGAUGUACAUUUAGAUAUAACCGACCUACAAAACCAAUUCAGAUAGAAAUGACUUGGGUGAUGAAGUUAAAGCUAAGUUUCCCGAUAACCUUUUUUACGGUAUGCCCCCUGUACCAGCAUGCCCAGUUGAUAUUAAUGAAGAUAUCCCAACACAGAUGAUAGACAUGAAUCUUCAAAAGAUUGAAUGUGAGAGUAUAUUUAAGAACAAAGAACUUUUAAAGCGGUGUAUUGGUAAAAAAAUAUCUUCGAGAAGGUUUUCAGACGAGGACAAGUAGAUCCACCAAAUCAAGGUAUGAAGCUGUGUGUGUUUCAAAAAAUUGUUCUUGGUUACUAAGAGCAAAAGCAAUUAAAAAUUCUGAUGGACUUUUCCAAGUGAAUAAAUUUGUUGAUGUACACACAUGUUCUUCAACAAUUUUGCAACCUAAUCAUCGACAAGCAAACAAAUAUGUUUUGGGGUGAAUAUGUUGCUGAUGUUUUGGUUGAAGACUAUAGUAGAGUUUAUCGGGGAAAAGAUAUUGAUGAGGAAUGAUCCACUAGCGUGGCCUAGACUGCUCUAGCGCGCCAGCUUGGCCUGGCGCGCCCCUGCCAGCCCUGCCUGGCGUUCCCUUGCCAGCCCCCGCUGGGGACUCCCUUGCUAGCCCUUGCUGGGGACUCCUUUACCAGCCCUGCUGGGGACUCUCCUGCCGGCUUGGCCAGGCACUCCCCCGCCUGACACUCCCUUGCCAUCCUCUCCUGGUGCAUGCCCGCCAGCCCCGCCCGGUGCCUCCGGGCGGCCUUGCCCAACUCCUUGCUAGCUGGGCCUGAAUUGGGCUGGCCCAAGGCCUGACCUAAUUGUCCCCUAUAUAAUGAAUAGUACCUCCUCCAUGGAGAGAGAAACUUUCCCUGGACUCUCCCCCAAGUGGUGCAGCCAUCACUAGACUUCCCCAUGGCUCAGCCGCCACUAUACUCCGGCCGGGUGGCUCAGCCGCCACCCGCCGCCGUCAGCCACCACCAGCACCAAGAUGGUUCCCUCCAGCUAGGAGAACCAUCUUAGAUCUUCUAGCUAAUCUAACUUGACCGUCGGAGCCCGUUCCCGGGGCACAGUCCCUGGGGCGGCUCUAACGCGUCUCUCUGAUGGUGACUCGCAGAUCUCUGCCGCAACAGAAGACCCGAAGAACAGCCGGAGGUCCAUGUUCCAUCAGAUAUUAUUAAUGAUAUGAUUGCUCAAUUUAAUAUCAAUAUCUCAUACCAUCAGGCAUGGCGUGCGAAGCAAUAUGCAUUGUUGUUGUUAAGGGGUACGAAAGAGGAUUCUUUUACCAAACUUCCGACGUAUUGUCACAAUUUGGUCAAACAUAAUCCAGGUACGGUGACACAUAUUAAAACAGAUGGCGAUGAUUGCUUUGAGUUUGUGUACGUCGCACUCGGUUGCCCGGUUAGUAUUAUAAUAUUUUAUUAAUUUAUUAAUUUUUAUUUUGGUGUAUUUGAAUAGAUAUACAAUGUAUUGUAGGUACGCGCUUUUGUUAAAUUUUAUAAACCGACCCUAGUAGUAGAUGGAGCCCACCUAAAGGGAGAGUUCAAAGGUACCAUGUUACUUGUAGUUACUAAGGACGGACACNUAUUACCGGUUGCAUAUGGUAUAUGCAAAAAUGAGUGUACCGAUUCUUGGACAUGGUUUUUUCAAAAACUACGUGAUUGCAUAGGAAAUAUGCAGGAGCUUACAAUUAUAUCUGAUAGGUCUCCAUCUAUAGCAACAUCCGUUGCCAACAUUUUUCCUCACGCUCAUCAUGGAAUAUGUGGUGUCCAUUUGUAUUUCAACAUAGUAUCUAGAUUCGGGAAGAGUAACACAGUUAAAGGAAUUUUUUGGGAGGCUUGUAGGGCGUACACAGUUGAUGCUUUUGAAGCUGCCAUGGAUGUUAUGAAAAAGACAAAAGAACCAGUAUGGGAGUACUUAAAAAGUAUAGGGAGUACUUAAAAAGUAUAAAUCCAGAAAAUUGGUUAAGGGCACAUUUUAAAGGGAACCGAUACAAUCUUAUGUCGUCCAACAGUGCGGAGUCUAUAAAUGCAUUAUCUAGACACGCACGUAAGGUACCAAUACUUAUGUUGAUCGAUUUUUUUCGUGCAACAAUGCAACAAUGGUGGUUUUAAAGACGUAACUUUGCAGGUAUUAAGUAAAUUUUUAAUAUUAAUGUUUUAUUAAUUUUGAUGUUAUUGAUCUUAACUUCUUCAUUUUGCCUGUUUUUUUAGCGGAAGCAACAACAAUACUUACCCCUUGGGCAGAUGAAAUUGUAAAAGAAAACAAAAAAACUUUUACUAAGUGGGAUGUUCGCAUGAUCUCAAAUACGAAACGCGAGGUCAAAAAGGGGGCACAAAAUGUGAUUGUUGAUUUCCAACAUAUGACAUGUACAUGUAGGCAUUGGCAACUUGAUGGGAUACCUUGUGGUCAUGUCAUAAGAUGUUUAACAGUCAACAAUUACCAAGACUGCUCUAUGUAUGCAUUAAAUGCUUACUUUACCGAAACACUGAGUAAAACAUAUGAGGAAUCAAUAAACCCUUUGCCAAAGCCAUCCGAAUGGGAGAUCCCCAAUGAUUUGAUGAUUGUUAAGCCACCUAUAAUGGAUAAACGUCAGCCAGGCAUGCCAAGAAACACAGACCGCAUUUCAUCCCAAGGCGAGGGUCCAAUUAGAAAAGAGUGCUCUACAUGUGGUCAACUAGGACACACGAGAAACAAUUGUACUGGAAGGGCGUCUGGUAGUCGAGCAUGUCACACAAUUUCUACUGCAGAAAUGACAUUUAAUAUUGGUGGUUCAGUGAGUUGCUCACAAACCUAUGACACUGAUUUUGAUAUAAAACAACCUUGAAAUGAAGAGUUGUUAACUUAUUAUGUAUUGUAAUUUUUUUUAUUAAAUCUUACAAGACAUUGCGAUGCUUUCAUAUUUUAGUUUAGUUUGUAGAUUAUAACAAUUAAUGAAGUUUUUAUAUUAUAAAAUUUAGUUUGCAUAUUUUAACAAUUACAACAUGCUAUUUAAAAAAAACAACAAACGAUUCUUUUGCAACCUAAUCUGUAUCAUGAUAAUAUUACAACAAUUUUGUAACUAAUUUUUAAACUCAGAGAACUGCAAUGGGUACUUCUCUUUCUCCAUUGUUAUAUAUUCAUCCCUAAUUCUCAUUUUGUCUUCCAAACGAUCCUUUUGCACCAUAAUGUGUAUCAAAUGCUCGUCCUUCUCAGCAAGCCAUUUUUCAAUCGUUUUGAUUGCCUUCUUACUCUUUUUAUCCAAUCUUCAUGCUCUUUGAUUUUGUUUUUAUUGAGGUCUAUCCAUUGUUGAGUUUGUUUGCAUUCCGAUGCAAUAUCAUUACCACGUUGAGUGAGAAGUCAGGAUGACUCUUUGUCCUCUUCUUGUUGUUCUUCAGCCUUCUUCAAUUCUUCAAAAGUUUCAUUUGACAUAUAUGGCCCGGCUGAAGAGGGUGUAAAAAAAGGGUCGACUGAAUCACAGUAUUAACAAUCUACUUCGUUGCAUGAGCAAACUUUGAAUUUGUGUGAGGAACUCAUCUUAAAGUCGACAUUAUAAUAAACUGGUACUAUAAGUGGUAUUUAUACAUACUAGACAAUAAUGAUAAGUCCAACUUUGAAAUGACUAGACAGUAAUGACAAGUCAUUGCAGUAACCUGCAAAUCGUAGUGAACUCUUAAGUGNGACAUAAAUGACUGUUUGACAUGAUAAGUCACUGCAGAAAGCUGAAAAUCGUAGUCCAAAUGCAACCAUUUCGUAGUCAAAGUUGUAAUUCAUAGUCCUGUAUUUAUUUAUAUAAAUAGAUGUUUAAGAUCUAAAAACCAAACACCGAAAUCACCUAAACGAAACGAACUCCCAUUAGAAAUGUCGUCGAAUACAGCAAGUUCUUCGAAUGAAGUACCUGGUUCCAAUUCUAAAAGGCCAUGGACGAAAAACGAGGUGUUGGUUCUUACACGAUGUUGGCUAAGUGUUAAGGAUGGUGUAUCGUUACUUGCUCCCCCGCAUUGCCUAGUAGGUGAUGAAUUGAGUCGCAUAACAGCUUUGUUCAACCAUGAGAUGGGAGAAGGACAACAACGAGAAAAAUCAGAUGUUGUUACUAAAUGGAUGGAUGUAAAGGAAGAAGUGACAUGGUUCAAUCGAGCGUGUAAUUAUGCGAAAAGUACCAAACUUCGUUGUAGGGACGAAGAAGAGUUCUUGGAAGUUGUUACAGAUUUUUACAUCUGUGAGCGUGAUAGCAGAGACUUUGAAUAUGAGGAAGUUUGGAAGGUUGUAAAAAAUAAUCAGUAUUUCAUGUAGACCGCUCUAAUUUCCGUUAAUAAUAACCCAUGGACUUGUGUUUUAUUUUAAUGCUUUGUUUGUAGUAUGUCCUUGUUUUUCAUGUAAUUGUUGCAAUGUUUGUAAUGGUUCAUGGAAUUCUUGUUAGUAAUGUAUUCUAAUGUAUUGUGAAAACUAAUGCAAUGGGCAUUUAUUAAUUGAAAUUAAACAUAGGAGAUGCAUCCAAUACAUACGAAAUACAUGAAAAUAAAGGUGAACUCACAUAAUAAACUGAAAUAGAUUUUAAACAAAUAGGAUACAUUUAAAAAUAUUCCAAGGGGCUUCAAACUGAAAUUCCAACCCGUUACUUAAUGACUUGUAUUCCUCCUUAGCAGCUUCCAAGAUGACUUCCUCAGUAGCAUUUAAACGAGUGUCGUCAAUUUUGGUAUAAAGAUCGUUGAAUAAUAGAACUUCGAUUUUCAUUCCAUACCAUCUUGCUAAGAUGUCUAGUUCGUCACGAUCGUUUCUUGUAGUCAUUCGGUUUUCAGCGUUGAAAACAUUGGUUAAACGGCUCCAAAACAUUGGAUCGUUCAACUUGCUUGUCUCAUACACAUGAAUAUAAGCACGUGUAAGAACCAAGAACUCUUCAUUGCUUCAUGAUAUAGAACUCAUUUUGAUUGAAACAAAGAGAGUAAAAUCUCAAAAACAAUACUUGAACAACUGUAUUGGUUGUUUAGUAAACUAUUUAUUUAACUUAAUGUCAAUUUAUAGUAGUUUAUACACAAAAUCGCAGUCCAAUCUUCUAAUAUGUCUGCAAUUCAUAGUCAAAAUUAACUGACGAACGCAAUGUACUAUACUUAUAACACAACAGAUCAUUGUCCGAGUUGAUAAGUCAUCCUUGUGAAAUGACAACACAAUACACUGCUACUUGAGUUGAUAAGCCAUUGCACUGGGAAAAUAAGGAGUCGCUAUAAAUAGUUGUUAAUAUCCAUUUUAAUUAUAUCGUAUUACUUCCCCCCUUGCAAUUAUGGACUCACCUGUACCACAUAUAUGGAGGAACGAAGAGGAGGUCGCUUUGGUUCAAGCUUGGAUUAUAACUAUAGAGGAGGAUUUUCCACUGGGUCCCCCACAAGUUCGUGCUGGAUCAUUUUGGUCUCGUGUUUGUCAUUUGUUUCACCAUUUAAUCUGGCGUACUCAAUAUCAAAGAAGAAGAGAUGUCAAAGCGAAGUUUCUAGAUUUGAAAAUAAAGGUGAAACAAUUUCAAUGUAUUUAUAACGAGUUGGAUAAUGAACCUGCAAAUACAGAUGAAGACAUUCUGCGACAGGUGGCUUUGGAACUAUACCGUUUUGAAUAUGAUGGUAGCAAGUUUACCCACUUAGAUGCAUGGAAUCUUUUAAAGAAUGUCCCUCAUUUUUAAUAUGCAUGUUGGUUAAGUUAACUGUUUUUCGUUAGUUAAGUUGCUUGUUGUUGUAUGUGUGUUUUGUUACUAUUUAAUAAACGUCCCUUACUUUUAAUGUAUGUUGUUUCCUCAAUCGCUAAUACAUAAUACGACAUAAAAUAAAUUACUAAUACAUAAUACGACAUAAGAUAUAAAUGGGGUACAUGAAUAACUAAUACAUGACAUGACAUAAAAUAAAAAUGGGGUACAUAAAUAACUAAUACAUAAUACGACAUAAAAUAUAAAAGGGCUACAUGAAUAACUACUGCAUCGAGGGAGGUAACAGGACCAUCCUUUCAUUUGGUAUUUCCCAAAGAACAUGUGAUGGUAUAGUAUUCACCAACUCAUAUCCAUAUGCAAGUCGAUACACGAAAUUAGUGAACUUAUAAUCAACCAUUUUAUGAAUGGCUUCAGACGUACGGGUUCUUAGACAUGCUAUAGUGUGGCCACAUGAUAUACCGCUUUCUUGCCAUUUCCCACAACUACAUACCCUUCGUUCAAGUUGUACGUUGGUGGCGGCAAAAUUGUCACCGACUUCAAAUGUAUCCCGAUACAAACGUCUUGCCAUCUAAUUAUAAGACUUGUUGACACGUUUUUGAACCUUACUCUCAACAUAAGGGGUCAACCCACCAGACAACCUCCUUGGAAAAUUUGAUAAUUUUAGAAAAAUAAUAACACAAGAAAAAAACUAAAUAUAACAAUCUCCCUUACCCACUACUUUAGCCCGUUCACCAUACUUUGAUUGUAUCGACGUAUUGAUUAACUCAAUUAUCGUUGUUAUAGGAAACUCACGUGUGGGUAUAAUUUGAAAAAUUUCAGGGACGUCAAUCGAUUUAACAUUGUAACGUAUUUUUGGGAAAAAUGCUCGUGUCCAUUUUGAAAUUGCUAUAUCGUCAAGCCAGUAAAUUGGACUCCUAAGCAAGGUGCAGAAAGGUUGUUUCCUACAUGCACUUUGCAACCUUUCCAGACACAAGUAAAAAUCAUGAAUGCUAUAUGAAUUGCAUGACUUCCAAAACAAUGAUUCGACUUCCGUAUUGUUAUGUCUGACGGACUCAUGUAUUUUUCGAGCUAUAUCUUUAGGACAAUAUCCAUGAUACGAAUCCGGGUAGGCACUCUAAACACCAAAGUCUAUUUUAUCACAUAGGUUGCUUAUGAAACCAACCUCUGUAUCCUCACCUAAACAAUAUUUUAACCUCAUCAUGAACCAUCUCCAUGACUCUUCACACUCUAAGGUUCCCAAACCAAUUGCUAAGAGUAGGGGUUCAUGAUUUCCAUCGAAAGCCACUGCGAAGUACAUUGUUGUCAGAUAACUCCCAAGAAGGGGUAAAUAACCCACAUAUAUCAACGGUAUCACGCACCUAAGGAAGGUAUGAAUCUACAUAAAAAACAAACAUAUAUUAGUGAUAAGUAAAAAGUAAUCGAGAUACAUUACCAUGAAAUAUUAUAUAACUCAAUAAAAGAAAUAUGUUAUACCACACAACCUAAAGCUACAACACAGAAUUGAAAGUGGCUGGUAUCCGUUUUCUUAAUGGUUGUGAAGGUAUUAGGAUUUGUUCUUUGAAGAUUAUGAAAGAAUAUUGGUAGCUGAGAAAAGCUUCUUUCGAUGUAAGUACUCAUUUUCACAACCAAUGAAAGUGUUUUACAAUCAUCACACAAAUGCAAUUAUAAUUAUAUUGAAAUUAGUGUUUCUCUACAGACCAUACUUCAUAGUUCAAAUUUUUAAAUUCAUAAUCAAACCAGUUCAUUUCAUAGUAAAAAAUCACUGACCGACAAGACAAGACAACACAAUGUACUUGUCUGCAUUUCAUAGUUCAACUUUUUCAAUUCAUAGUCAAACCAAUUCAUUAUAUCGACAAGACAAGACAAGACAAGACAACACAAUGUACUUGUCUGCAUUUCAUAGUUCAACUUUUUCAAUUCAUAGUCAAACAAGUUCAUUUCAUAGUCAAACAUAAUUGUAUGUAAUAUAAUUUCUUCUAUAAAUGGGUGUAAGUCAUUAUGAGAAAUUUAUCUGAGAAAGUAACUCCUAUUUAAUAGAAAAAUAAGGCUAAUGGCAUACUUCAAUUGCGGACGUGAACGUAUUGUUAGGAUUUCGGGGACAACUAAUAACCCAGGAAGACUGUUUUACGCUCGCCCAUAUUUGGUAUCAUGUUCUUAACGUCAUUCAUAUUUAAACCCUCGUGUUUACAUGGCAACAAUUCUUACUGUCUAUGUUUAAAUUCACAGGGACCAAAAUGCGGGUUUAUCAGUUGGGUUGAUGAAGAGAAGGACCAAUCAUCUAUGGUAAUAGCUAAAGUAGCUAACUCUAAUAAGCUCUUUCAAUCAGAAAAUAAGAAGUUAAAGAUAGCAUUGGUUUGUAGUUGGGUGUUGUUCUUGGCAGUUCUUGUUUACAAGUUGUAAGCUUUUUAAUAUUGUUUUGAUAGUUUUGAAGUUGUUAGGUCAAUAAAUUGUUGUAUUUGUACUUAUGUUUAGAACAAUGUACUUGUAACAUUAAAACAAAUGUUGUUGUCGUUCUUAUGUUGUAAGUAUUGAUAAUUUAUUAGUAGGUCAUUAAUUUGUUGUAAUUGUUGUAACGUUAAAACUAAAAAUAAACUAAUAAUCAAAUCCAACAUUAAUUUACAUAUACAAAAAUAUAAUCCAACUACAUAGGACCAAGACUCGACGCCCAAAUUUUUUUUGCCAUCCGUUGGCGAAACUCUAAAGCUGCGUUCUUUGGGUCAAUAAGUUCAUGUAUUGGUUGACCUGAAACUAAUUGCUCCAUAAACAUACAAACAAAAACACCGCAAUCUCCCAAAUGACUACUUUGUUGGGGAACAUUUUCUUCAUAAAUGAAUUGCAUAUUCAAUGGAAUCCUUAGGAUGUUCCUUCAGGCCCAAUAGUGAAUCUUGUCCAAAUAAUUUGCCACCCGAGAUUCAAAUUUGGUAAAGGUUCCAUCAGAUUUGAAUUUUUCAUAAGCCACUCUACCGAGACUAUUCAUAAAUAUGGACUUCCAUUGACGCCAAUCGUAGUUCCUCAAAUAGCCAGUGAUUAGGGGAUGAAUGAAUCGGCAAUAGGACCUGUAUAAGGAUCAGAAAAAAAAAUUAUGUUUUUUAUAUCACAAUACAAAAACAUAACGACAAUAACGAUAAUAUUUUCAAUAUAAAAAAUUAAGUUUACCGUAUCGACAUCCCACCAAGCAACCAUGAAGUUGGGGUACGAAGCAAUACCAGCCAUAAACGCCCUCCAAUCCUGCCCUUCUUCCAAAGCAUGGAAAACAAAAAAAUUUGGAGGCAUUAUUGUAUGUCGGUCGCCCUCAAACCGUCUCUCCAUCAGUAGUCUAUACAAAAUGGUUAUAUGCUGCACAAAAUUAUGAUGGUUUUGUUAUUGACUAAAAAACAAAUUAUUUUAAAAUAAUAAAUUAACAAUUAUUUUACCGAUGACUCCAACCAUCCGUCGUGUGUAUGCCCAAACAAGGCGCUCAAAAAAUCUCUAUCUAACACGGAAUUAAACAAACGAUGCUAGAAAUCAUAUGAGUGAAAUAAAUAAUUUUGGAUGACAACCUCACCGCUUGCUACGUAAGGAUGCAGACGCAACACGGAGAAGUCGUGAGCAACAGAAAAAGCUAGAGGAGGAACGGGGCUUGUUGAUUUGAUAUCAACCUUCUUUUUUGCUCUUCUUUUUUGCUUCGGUGUCAUGUGCAACUAAAAACAAUAUUCAAAUGUUUAAAUCUCUAUCUUUCAGAUAACUCACAUAAACAUAAAAUUAUAAGUUUAUAAAUUAAACGAAUACAUUGGUGUAAGGAGGGCACACAUAUUGUGAUGAUUUUCGAGUCCUCGGUUUAUCUGGUGUAACUUCUUUGCCAUCAACACCAUAAUCAUCAUAAUAAUCUACAUUUCCCGUAAUUAUUACUUCAUCUUCGUCCGACACCUAUUUUAAUAAGCAAUAAUCUCUAAUUAAAAAAAUGUUUCAAUGUACUACAAAAAAAAUAAAAAUAAAUGUAAGUAUAAGAACCUCUUUAACUUCAUUAUAAUCAUUUACAUCAAACACAUCAUCAUCAAAUUUGUUCCCCGCAUUGUCAUUCCUCUCCUCCAACUCUUACAUUAAAAAUAAAACAUUAUACUUAUUAACGAAAGACACAUUAAAAAUUAAUUAUUAAAAUCGUAAAGGUAAUAUCUAUAACAACCUUGUUUUCUUCAAUAUCACCAAAAAUAUUUUCAGUUGUAUUAUUUUUAUUCAUCACUUCAUCUUGUACAACCUAGAUUCUCAAAUAUAAAAUAUGAACAUAAAUAUUCAUAUAUGUUAAUAAAAUUAAAAAAAUAAUGUAGUGUGUAACUAACUCGUUCAUCAAAUUUUGUUUGGAAUACUACAGGCUCCUCAAAACUGAUGUCAUUCCAAAAUUCUUCAUUAUUCACUUCUUCAACAAAAACCUCUGUACGUUGUCGAUUCAUAAACACAUGCUGCUCCAGUGCAUGUAGCCGUUUCAACACCUCGUCUAGGUUGUGUUUCCUACUGCCCCUACCUCUACCAUGAGAGCGACCACUGGACGACAUACUAGACGAAGAUUCGGCUUGUCUCCUAAAAUGGUCCCAUACUAGGCAUUGAACUGGUUUCCAUUCACCAUAUACAUACUCUUGAAAUGACAUAUAAUAACAAGAUGUCAUCUCACCAUCACUCGGUAACAUGUUUUGUCUUGGUGGUUGUCCCUCCUAAAAAAUUAAACAUAUUAAAAAUGCAUAUAAAACUAUAAUAAUGAAGUUUAUUAAUAACAAAAAAAAUAUUUAUAAACUUGUAUCUUUGAAAAAAUAUUGUUCACAUCAACCAAUUUCAAUUUUUUUGUCCUACUCCAUCGUUUCAUCCGAGGCAUAUCUCUAUUUUUUCUCAAUACAAAUCCACAUGCACGAACAGCUGGAAGCAUCUCAUAUAUCCAUAUCUACAAUUUUUACAAUUACAGUAAUAAAAGUUAAAAUUAAAAUGAAAAACAUAACAAUAAAACAAUUUAAAUAUAAGAAAAUUUUUAUACCCUUAGUGGAGCCGUAAAUCCUGAGACGGAGUAUUUCAAAGUUUGACGACACUCAGGAAGUGAUAAAUAUUUAUUUAUCUUGUUCCAUGUAUCCUCAAGGUCAUCAUACGUAAAAUCCCAUAGAUAGCUACCCAAAGCGAAACUAACAAAACAAAAAGAAGUUAGUUAUAAUAUAAAUUAACAUUAAUAAUAUAAAACUUUCAACGUAAACAAAAUAUACUUGUUCCAGACAUCCAAAUUCUCAGCAAAAAAAAAAACCAAUCUUGUAGCACCCGAUGAUUUAUUUUUUUCCCAAAAAACCUUCGCACAAAAUGUAUAUCAAACAUACUCUAACUGCAUCGGCGUCGUCAACUUCUAAGAAUGUUUGAUUUUAAAUUAAACUUUUCAGGUCGCCGAUUUUCACCUAACUAUUUGUAUAGUUCAGAAAUAGCCGCUCACGCAAUAAACAUCUUUUUUUACUAGUUAUUAUUUUUUCUGACACUUUUUCCCAAUGUUUUUUGGAUACUCCCCAAAAUUGAAGUCGGUUAUCAAACAAAACUCUUCCGGCCCAUAUACCAUUUUCGUAUCGCAUACUCUAAAAUAUAACCGUUUUAUGCCAUUUGGAGAUAAAACAGGGUCCGGCCGGAUCUGAUUAAGGAACAUUUUAUGGAACAACAAUUUGUCCCCUUGUAAACUAGGGACAUCCAACAAAUAACCAAAUACAAUAUCUCUAAAAAUGUCACGCCUGACACCAUCUAACACUUCAAAUACUUCCCAUAUAUUACAGCCCGAGCCCGAGCCUUUUAAGUUUACAAUUGUUUUCACAUUGAAAUAAUUAAAAUCAUGCUGCACAAAACACAAAAACAUAUUAGAGAACUAAACAAAUAUUUUGUUUUAAAAUAUAUGAUUAUUAAGUGCAAUAAUAACAUAAACAAUAAUAACAGUGCAAAUACAAAUAUUUAAUUAAUAUUUUAUAUAUUUACGAUAAAAAACAAUAACAUACACAUAGUAUAACAAAUUUUCAACUUAAACGACAAAUAUAUAAACAAUUUUUCAAGUUAUAUGACAAAUAUAUAAACAAUUUUUAUCUUUCUAAUUAUAUAAAAUAACAUUUUCUAACCAUAUAAACAAACAAAUUUUCAAAUAAAACGACAACUAAAUUAACAAUUUUGCAAGUUAUACGACAAAUAUAUAUAAAUUUUCAACUUAUACGACAAACACAAACAAUUUCUAACAAUACUAUAAAAAAUUCUAUACUUCGAAAACAAAUAUACACAAAUUUUCUACUUAUACGACAAAUAUAUAUACAAACGACUAUUGUACACAUACUGUAAUUUAACCAUUUUUCAAUUUAUAAAAACAAUUACACGAUAAGAAUAUAUAAUUUUUCAAGUUAUAGAACUAUACAAACGACAAAUAACAUAUUGUAAAUAUUAUUCUAACAAUUUAUUUAACUAAUAACUUAAAAAAAUGAGCAUAUUCUAACCAUUUUACUAAAUGUACAACCAUCCGAUGCACACUCUACGCAGUCUCUACUUGUACAUUCAAACAACCACUAACAAAAUAGCAUUUAAACUUCAAGUUUACUAAUAACAAAUAUUAAAACUAUCAAAUACAACAAAAUUACCCUUUCGCAAACAUUAUAAUUUUUUUUUUAUACUAACUAAUACAAUAAAUAAUAAAAUAAUAAAGACGUAUACUAAAUAAAUGUUAAUUAAAACCUUAAAAGAGUUAAAAUCUAACCAUAUUUGCGGGAUUGUUAAAUAAUCCUCCAUUUUCUUUAAAAAAUCGCCAAAAGGAAUCCUCGAGAGAGAGAGAGAGUUUUUCUAUAAUGAAGAGUGAAAAUGAAGAAAAAAAAACCUUAUAUAAGAAAUUCGGGACAAAAUUGCAGAUGGAAGCCCAAAUCGCAGAUGGACUUUUCCAUCUGUGAAUGUACAAGCAGCUAAGCACAACUGUGCUUUAGCCGCUUGUACAUUCGCAGAUGGAAAGCCCAAAUCGCAGAUGGGGCUAUUCCAUCUGCGAAAUUAGUGGCCAUUUUUGGAAAUUCGAUUUUUUUUGGCUAAAUUUGUAAUGUAAUUAGUAUAAUUAGCUAUUUUUUUCAUUUUCUCUUUAAAAUAUACUGCUAUAUUAUUCGUCACAUAAUCAUUAAGUUAUCAAGUUAAUUAAUACCCAAACAAGUAAACACGUUACAUCCUACUUUAUUUUCCACAUAAAUGGACAUAAAUAAUAUUGAGCGGUCAUACUUCUAUAAUUUCUUUUUGAGAUACCUUAGGUGGAAAAAAACUCCGAUAUAUCCUUACUAUUUAAUUACAUUAAUUCUUAAAAGGACACAAAUUUUGAAUUUUUUUUAAAGUUGAAAAUAAGCUCACAUCCAAAGUAAAUAUAACCAGCCUAUUCUUUUGGAUGGGAGUAUGCCACGCGUAAAUAUCAACAUGCAUGCGUAUCAUAUGUGCCAUAGCAACAAGAGAAUAAAUCCUCGGAUGACCCAAGGUAUCCAUCAUUCUUGAAUUCUUUGACAUGACAUGAAUGCUUGCAGAUCUAGCCAAAACCACGUGGUGAUAAGAGGAAUCGAAUUUUAUGUUUGUCUAGAUGAAAAAAAAAGUGGCGGAACACGACCGCUAUAAUUAAGGGGGCCGAAACAAAGAUUGAGUUAAAUAAGUUGUAGAUUUGAUUAGUUUUUUCCUUUGAUUUUAUACAUUUUUUUAAACAACCAAAUAUUAAUAAAGAAAUAAAAUAACUACUAUUUACAAAAUGUCAUAAAUACUUGAUUAUUUAAAAAAUAAUAUUGCUUAUUUUCAAAAUGAAAUUAUUAUUAAGUGGACAUUUGUUUACUAGUCAAAAGACUUGAAAAUUUUGAUAUUGACAUAUAUCAUAAAGUUAUCUUAUAAAGUGUGCUAGUAAAUUUAUCGAUUAAAAUUUAAGUUUUUAAGAAGUAUAGUGAGUUUUAGUAAAUUUAUCAAUUAAAAUUUAAGGAUUAAAAUUUAAGUUUUCAAUAAGUAUAACGAAUUUUAUAAUAUGUUAAGAUUGUUGUUGACAAAAUAUCGCAAGUAAAAUAUUUAUGAAUGCUAGAAAUGUCCAUAUAAAAGAUUAAAAUACCUUAGAAGGGUUAAAACAUUUUCCCCCAUUAAAAUAGUUUUUCUUUUAUUUUUAUAUUCAAAAAAUUUUACCGACAUCCUUUAACUAUAUAAAUUUUACUUUUUCAAUUGAAAAUAAAUCAAAGUAACAACGAGUACCGAGUUAUUGGGAAGAGGUCUUCUUCUUCUUUAAACCCUUCCCAACAUUAUUAAGGAAAAAGUAAAUUGAUCUUCUAUAUUUUAUUAUUUUAAAGUGCAAUUUUUCGAAGAGACCAAAUGAAAAACUAUUGAAAGUGGAGCCGGAGACUCGGAGAGGCAAAGUGACGCUGGAGCUGUGAAGGAUGCUCAUUUUUUUCCUUUACUUUCAUUUUUCCUUAUUGUUUUUACAGAUCUCGUCAUCUAGUUUGCUAAUUAGAAGGCCAAAAAACAGGGGGGGCAUGGCCUCCCCCGGCCCCUUAAGAGCUCCGCCACUAAAAAAGCCUUUAUCAAGUGGGUGUUUGAGAGUGUUUUUUAAAAUGAAUUAUUAGCUUAUUGGGUUUUCAAAAAGCCAAUAAAUUAAAAAAUGUUUUGCAAAAGCACUAACUUUAUAAGCAAAAAAAUGUUUUUUUUCCAAAAAGCCAUAAAUUCUUAACUUUUCAAAAAACCAAUAAGGACAUUAAGAAGCAAUCCCAAACACGCUAACCAAGCAAAAGACACCUUGAUAAAUACUUUAAAACGAAGAAGUAAUUUUGGUCCCCUAUUGUCGUGAGGGCCUGGACAGGCACCCAACCCCUUAUUGGACUGGGCUAUCCAAACACCCAUUUAGGUACAUCAAUAUUUAGUAUGGAGGUUUACAGAAACACUCUUUGAUGUAGGGAUGAGCAAAAGGACCGAACCGGCCGGAACCGGCUCGAACCGGACCGGAACCGAGAACCGGCUUCGGCCAAAAUCAAGAACCGAACCGGCCCGGCGGUUCUACCGGUUCCCGGUUCCUACCGGUUCUUUUCGUGUCUUCAAAUGUUGGAACCGGUCCUUGAAAAAUAGCAUCAUACGGUUCCGGUUUUUGCCGGUUCUACCGGUUCCGGUUCCUACCGGUUCCAAAAAUCCACAAAAAUAACGUCCCGGUCCCGGCCCGACCGGUUCCAUCGGAUUCCGGUUCCGGUGCCGGUUCCGGUUCCGGUACCGGUUCCCCGGUCGAUAUACUCAUCCCUACUUUGAUGCAUAAAUAUUUAGUAUGGAGGUUAAUAUAAUAAGCAACAAGAUGGUUAAUAUACUUUCUAGUUUCUAUUGUAAGCAAACUUCAAGCAGAGGUACCAAAACAUCAAAUUCAGCUUUAUGUGUCUUGUUAAACUUUGUGUUUUAUGUAUGUAUUGUUUAAAUUCAAGUAGCUGCAGAAAGCACAUUAUAGUGGGAUUACUUCUUCUUCUUGUCCCCUCUACCGAGAAUCAAGACACAAAGUGCGCCAUAGACAAAAAAAAAAAAACACAAUCUGACCGGUUUUUCCAAACCAGUUUCAAUCCGGUUUGUAUACAGUUUCAAUCUGAUCAGGUUUUAGCCUAAACUGGUUUUGAGUUUGUUGACUUAAACCCAACUGGUUAUAAAACCGAUCCAAUUUCCAAAAAGAACCUGUUUGUGUACCUCUACAUUAGGUGUUAAACAAAAAGAACCUGUUUGGUUAUAAAACCGAGAUUCAUGCUGAAACUUCUAUCUGUGUAAAAUGCUAGGUUUAUAUCCUUAUAUAGGUUUGAAUACCCAAGCAUAAAGCGUGUAUGAGCACUAGUAUCAAAUUUAUUGGUGCUAUCGCUAUAAUAGCAAUGCAUUAAAAAGGCUUGUGUUGCAAUUUUCACAAUCAGAUCAAGGCAUCUUCUUCCACAAGAGCUCGUGUAUUAAACCACAAUUUUCUUGCAACUUUUAACGUGACGUGGGGGAUGGAAAGAUUGAUGGGCAAUCGCUAGCCAAUGUUGCCUAUUGGACAAUAUAUAACAGGGGGAAAUAAAGGAAUCCUCUUAUCAAAUUUCAACCCAUAGAUAUAGCAAUGUAAUCUAGCUAGCUAGAAAUUAGUAUGCUUUUGCCAAGAUGCUUGGUAAUUACAAGGCCCAAAAAUCAAAGCUUCUAGUUGUUUACGAUGACAACGCAAAUUAAAUCAUCUUCUUUCAACAAAUUCUGCUAUAUCAUGUGUGAGUUCAAUGAAGGUCUCUUCUUUGCAUGGGAGCGUUAGACCUCCCAUAGGAUGAUCAUAUCCAAACUCUUCUUCCGAUAGCUUCAGCAAGGUCUGAAACGAAGGAUGUUCUAGGUAUGUUAUGGGAAUAAUAAAUCUCUUGUUUGAGCCUUCACCAACAUAUACGUUGAUACAACCUUUUGGUACAUCAUUAAUGGCUGCUGAGGUUGAAUGAUAUCUUGGCAUUAUUCCCAGCUUGCCACGCAAGAUUUUUGGAAAUCUGUGUAUGCCCAUGAUCACAAUGAAAAUCUAACUUCGAAAUUAAUUAAAACUAUUUGAUGGCAGAGAACACGAGUAUCGAAGAAAAUUUGGGGAGAAGCUCAAUAAGUUGAGUUUCCAUACAAAACGAAUAUGGGUAUAUAUAGGCAUCUAGUUGCUACAAAGUCCAGAAUGCCAAACUAUCAACAGAAUCAAUUUUCGUAAAUUUCUAUAAAUUUAAUUUGGAUACUCCGCAUCUUAUACCUUUUGGAGCAUCCAAAGAUAAAAUUCUCUUUGGUAUCACUGUUAUGUUUGCAUUCAGAAAGUACCGUGAAUAUGAAUAUUUGAGAUAAUCUUAGUGUGGUCAUUUUGGAUUAUACCAAUUGUACUAUACCAUACUAGUACGUAUUCCAUAUUAUUUAAUAAUUUUCCAAAUCAUUUUAACAAAAUGCUCCCAUGUCACUAGUUCACUACAAGAAAGUUGGUUUUUAGCAACCAUAAAAUUUAAGAUAGAUAAUCUUAGUGUGGUGAUCAUAUGGGAUUGAAACAACUGGACAAUGCUUCACUUACAUUUAUCAAACAGGAAAUUUCUGAUUGUAAUUGUCUUUUACUUUUGGAUGUAACAUGUUAUUAUUAACGUAGUUGCCUAUAAUCAGGUUAUUAAUUCUAUCAGAUAACAACCAAAUUAUAUGUCAGUCUCUAUUUUAGAGAACAUGUAGGUCAUUGGAGUUCGACCCAGUUUCAUCUCUUCAACGAGAAGCUCUAGAACUUGAGGGACGCAUAAACAAAAAUUACACUACCAAAAUUUUUUUAAAGGGUAUCCCGGGAUCCUCUUGGAUCCACCCAGGUGGAGCAACGUACGUUAAGUACUUUGUCACAAUAGAGUCUAGUCCAUGCAAGAGAAUUCAUCUAUGUCUACAAAAUUAAUGUAAUAUCUGACAAAUUAACCCAUCAAUAUACAUGAUAGUUAAAAAUUUGGUGAACUUCCCACCAUGAUAAAGUUCAAUACAAACAUGGUAGGAUUUCUAUCUUCAAACAUUAAACAAAGAAAGGUAAGAUUUGGAAUGGUUAGAAACUUAGAAUUAUAUUUUACAGCGAGUUAAUCAAAAGCAACAUGUUAACCAUAAAUAAGCCUUCCCUCACUUCUCUCAUUUCCAUCCGGGUCUCAUCAUCCCAUAACUUUUGGAAAUUCAUCAUCUUCAUCCCUCCUUACCCACAUAAUUUAGUUAAUUCUGUUAAAAAAAAAAAAUUAAACAAUAAAUAAAACCAAAAUUAAAAAAAUUCAUAAAAAAAGUAAACUACUACAAACGCUAAAUAAAUUCAUAAACUACAAUUACAAUUUAAAGACAUUAAUUAUAAAAAUCAUGAAACAAUAAUAAAAAGCCUAAAAUAAAAUUCUACAUCUCCUAAAUUUGUUGUUUCUUGGCGAUCACCGAGUUCAACAUCCUGGUUAAAUGGUCACGCGACUUAAGAUGGAACUACAUAUUUUUCGUCUCGUACCACUUUGAUUGGACGCAUGCCAUUUUCUUUUGCUUGACAUCUUCCACGAGUCGCAAUUUAUCAGGCCGAUAUCACUUUCUCUCUUCUUACUCUUUUUUGUUUUGAUAGGAGAUGCCAUCAAUUGCAAUGGUGAGUUCAUUUAGUUCAGAAAGUUGUGCGGAUGUGGAUGUCGAUUCCUUCUCUUUUGCUGCCUACGUGGCAGUGAGUUAACAAGAAUUAGUUCAUGUAACAUCCUGUUUCAGAUCGUUUGUGAUUUAAGGCUUGUGGGCUGUAACUCGAGCAUGAGAAGGUUUUGAGGAUUUAAAGGAGAAAGGUUUAGGCCCUUUUAGAUAUGGAUAAGGUAGGUUGUGUGAUAAAAUGGUUUGGGCUGUGCUUUAGAGCCCAAGAGUAUCGAUAAAGACGUUGGCUCGGUCUUUUAUGAAUUUUGUUUUUUUUUUGUGGAGUUUUAAGGCUGUGAUGAGUUGCUAGAAGCGUAGGGCUUAUCGCCACCUUUCCAUGGAUAUAAGGUUCGUUGGAAACAGACUUAUUACAAAGAAGUUAUGAUAGUUUGAUGUUUUGGCAAGUUCAGUCCUUAUUGAGAAAUGGGUGGCAAUUAGAUACGCGGGGCGUACACUUGUGUACGCGCAGCGUACUCAUGCCCUUUGCAUGAUCGUGGAGGCCACCUAGUAUGCCGGGCAUACCAGAGGGUACGCUGGGCGUACUAGGUCCAGAAAGAAACCCUAAUAUUUUGAGGUGACCCUAUUUAAGGAACAUGAUGACCUUAUUUUUAGCCACCAUUUCAAGUCUCCAAGCCCUCUCAAACCCUAAUCUUAUUUCCCCUAACUUGUGUGAGUAUGGAGGUCAUUUGAGUGUUCUUGGUGAAGCUCUUGGUGAAAAAAGAGCCUUGAAAGAGGAUAGCUUGUGCUUCUAGCUUUUGGAUAUGAGUUCUACUCUUGUCGGUGCAUCCUCCGGAGGUAUCAAGUUCGAAACUUGCUCAUUGUUGUGAUAGUUUUGGUUUUGGGUCCAUUUUUAGGGUUUUAUGUCCCAAGAUUGGAGCUUUCUGAGUUUGGUGAAAUCCAAAGUAAAUCUCUUGUCUUUUUAAGUGUAUUGGGUUGCCUUGAUUCAUAAAAAUGAGAACUUGGUUGUCUAGACCUCUUCAUGCAUGUGUUAAAAUGAUUUAAGAGAGUCUUAAUGGUUAUUUUUGGGUAGAACAUGGGUAGAUGGAAUAGUUGGUGACGAUGCGACUUCGUGCCUAUUGAGUAAAGCCUUGGUGACGAUGCAACUUCGUGCCUAUUGAGUAAAGCCUUGGUGACGAUGCGACUUCGUUCCUAUUGAGUAAGCUUUGGUGACGAUUCGACUUCGUGCCUAUUUGAUAAACCUUGGUGACGAUGUGACUUCGUGCCUGUUGAGUAAACUUUGGUAACUAUGGAGUUAGCGUCAGAUAGCUAUGGAUUUAGUAUCUGAUGGAUAAAUUUUUGGCAACAAUGGACUUCGUGCCAAUUCCUUAGGUAAAUCCUUAGGAACGAAUGAAUGAAGGAUAGUUGGUCCUUAGGGUAAAACCUUAAGAAAUGAAGGAGAUAAUGGGGAUGGGUAUUUGGGUUGAUUGUUUGAUGAUUGAAUAAUAAAUGUAUUAUUGUGGGUUGAAAACCCUAUAUGCUCACCAGGCUCCCAAGCCUGACCCACUCAAUUUUCUUUGUAUCACAGGUAUCAAUACGAAGACAUAUUUCACUGAGAGAUUAAAUGAGAUGUAAAUGAUUAGUGUAAAUAAAUGUAAGUUCUGUUUAUGCUUAUGUGUCUGUAUCGGAACAUGACAUCCCGAGAUUUUGUUAUAUAAUGAAAAUACAUUCUCUUUGAGAAACGUUUUGAUAAAUUCUUAUCAUAUUUUGUUUUGGGAACAAAUUCCGCAACAAUUUUCUUUAAACGAUUACUUUGAUUUUAAAAACAAAGCAUAAACAAAUCGGUCUUUUCUUGCCGUGAAAUUGGGGAUGUCACAUAACCCUACAUGUGACACACUAUAUAAGGAACCUCAUAUGGAGCAAAAUCAGCAUAUUAGACACAAUAAGUGAGGGCUAGCCGAAUUUUGUGCUCAAGUGUAUUUCUCUCAAGUAAUUCCAAGAGUUGUGGUGUUGUGUGAAGCAUUUGAGGCAUCACAUUUGGGGUGCUAGGCUCACAAGGUCUUUAGGAAUCCAAUCAACAAGAAAUGUAUGUCAUUCUACUAAUUUUUAUAUUACAAGUACCCCAUGGUUUGCUAGUUAGAAUGAGAACUUUGGAAAAUUAUAUUUGCAUGUAUAUUAGAUAAAACAUAGAUCCAAGGUUUCUAGGAUUGCAUGUACACCAUAGGAGUGUUAAGAUGGUCAAAACCCAUCAGUGGUAUCAGAGCCUAGGCUUGUUUUCUUUAUACUUGAUGCAAAUUGUUGAAAAAAGUUGAAAACCUGCUAACUGUUCAGUGAACUCGCCGAGUCCAUGGGGGGACUCGACGAUUCCAAGUGAAACUUCAUCCUACUCGUCGAGUAGGAGGCAUUGUGUGCAGAUUUUUGAGUUUUGUUGUUGGAAAUGGACUAGAAUCAUUACCCUAAACUGCUUUGGACUUAUAAAAUCUGUUUUUUGAUGUGGUAAUGAUUAUGCUAAUCCAUUUUCAAAGUUUAUUAUCAAAUUUUCAAGUUUUAUAUAUGUUUAUAUGAUUCUUGAAAUUGUUGAUUUGAAUGUUCAUGCUUGUAACGCCCCGAACUUAGCAGGUAUAUUUCAAAACCCACCUUCUUUUGAUUAUUGUCUUUGACAGCCUCGAAGAAUUUCUGUUGAGUCCCGGGGAGUUUAGGGGCUCAAGUUGAAACUUUGGGCCAAAGAGGGAGUACGCUAAGCGUACAUAAGAGUACGCUGGGCGUAAGCUUAUGUACGCUGGGCAUACUCGCGUCAGCUAAAAACCCUAAUGUUUGAGGUUGGGACUAUAUAAACACCCUUAUGGCUCAUUAUUUUUCCUUACCUUAGCCUCCAUACCACAGAGAACACCCCAAAACCCUAGUUUGUGUGCGUAGAGUGUGUUAGUGUGCAUCUUGAGCCUUGGAGAGUGGAGUUAUUGCACCAAGAAGCUAGAGGAGGAAAGCAAGGCCUUAGAUCUGAAGUUGGGUUACACCAUUUGAGCUCCAGAAGGUAAAAAGACUUAUGGUUAUUUACUUUAGAUCUAGACAUUUUAGCUUUUUGAAGGUCUUAUGGACCUAGAUUUCCCAAGAUGAUGCAUGUGAAGUUCUAUACGAAAUAAGUUGUCCUUUCAGACGUUUUGAGAGGCCUUAAGUGAUAAAAAUCAGUCCUUUUUAGCUAGACUUGAUCCAUGCAUGUGAUAAGAAGGUCUUAAUGAGUUAAGACUAUGAGUUAAGGACUUUUUGGACGUCCAAAUUGAUAAAGUCCGAAACUUUAUGAUUCUAUGGCCUAUUUGGUCGAUGGAUCUGGAAUAUGGGUUCAAGAGCUCAAACCAUUAAGCACUUAUUAAGAUCUUAGUAAAGCCCGUGUAUGCUGCGCGUAAUAUCUGUACGCCCAACGUACGUGGUCAGCGGUCCCGAUGAUGGUCAACGAAGAACUACGCUACGCCCAGCGUAACUGGGAGGUACGCCCCGCGCACGCUCCCUGUUGGACUUUUUGCUUGUUGGUUUAUGAUUUGGGCCGGUUAUGGGUCAUUUGGGUUAAUCCCUUAAUGGACUCUGGAUAUAGUGCUGUUUGGGUAAGGUUGGACUUGUAGGAUUCGUUUAGGCCCAAUAGAGUGAUGGGCCCAAUUUAAUAAAUUGGGCCAAUAUUAGAUUUGGACAUUUUGGGUCUCUUGAUAUCUUCAAGGUCUUGUUAAGUAAUUCGUAUUCUUUAUCUCUUAGUCGAGGGUGUCGGGCGUAGCAGUUGAAGACUCUUAGUUCAGUUAUGCACUCUUGCUAGGCGAGUUCUCCUCACUAUACCAACAGGGUCUACGACACUAGGUCAGUCCCUUGGGAUUUUAUCCCGGAGUUAGUAUGUGUUUCAUAUUCAUGAUCAGUUAGAUUGGUACCCUGGUACCUAGGGUGUUAUGCGGUUAUGAUUUGUUGGAUUGGUACCUUGAUAGAUAGAAUGGUGCUAUGCUUAGCGGUUAGUGUGAUUUGUGCUUAUUGCUUGAUUAUGUGCUAUUUAUAUGUCGACAUACAUGGAUGGGUUGGGUUGAGGCGGUGUCCUUCUUUGUGCGAUUGAGGCCAACAUACCUGGGGCGGUCUAGAUAGGCUGUAGGCCCGUAGGAGGCGGUUCAGUCAUGCUGAAGGCCCGACAAGCGGUUUGGAUAGGCUGUCCCGUAGGAGGCGGUCCAGUCAUGUCGAAGGCUCGAGAGCGGUCCAGAUAGGCUGUAGGCCCGUAGAAGGCGGUCCAGUCUGGCUGAAGGCUCAUUAUGCAUGCUGUUUGUUAUUAUUGGAAGUUUGAGGUUGGUAUUUUUGGGGGUAACUCACUAAGCCUUCGAGCUUAGAUGCAUUUUAUCGAUUAUUGUUUCAGGUACCUCAGCAGACCAUGGCAAGGCGAAGGCGUGACGUACACCUGUUAGGCGUGUCAAACCCAACAAAUUAAGGGUAUUAAUGACUCCUUAAACACUACUACUUUGUACUAGAAAUGUAAUACAAGGUAAGUAGGGUNAGAGACACGGGACAAGUGUUUAUACCUUUUUGCGGAAGGUACAAUAAUGGUCACAUAAAUGGGGGGUUGGUAUGCAAGGAUUUAAACAAGAGGAUAAAGCAAUAACUAAAUGAUCAAUUAAAUGAAACAAAUUCAGGAUUUGUGAGAACUCCAACUCUAUGCAAGACAAUUUAACAAUGUGAUUCCAAGGAUGAAAUGAUAUCUACUCAAUUCCACCUAAGUUGGUACUUGAAAGUGUUAACAAGCUCUAACACUUUCCAUUCACCACAAUAAUUAACCAAAACAAGCUCUUUGAUUAAUCCUAACCUUACUAACCUAAUCUAAACAAGCUCUUAGAAUUAGAUUGGAAGAUUGCAUGAAGCUUUAUGUGAAUGUUCCCAACAACACCCAAUACUCCUCAUAAGCUCGGGAGUGUAAAAGUGUAUGUGAAUAAGAUUUACACUAAAUCCAUUCAAUGGAAAUCAAUUUAGUGUUUGUUACUUAGUUCAAUUCACAAAACAAUUACGGAUUUUGCAAUUUGAUAACUUGAAUGACCUAACCCUAAUUCAAAUGGCCAAUAAGAAUCACAAUUAGAAUCAAACAUUCAAUUGAAACAAAAUCAAAUUCACUAGGUAGGAAUUAGAAGCAAACAUCAAAUCACAUGAUUGAAAUCACAACUAAAAAGUCAAGACAUGAAGUUGGAGAAACUAGGGUUCUAGCCACUCAUGACUAGAACAAGAUCACAAAUCUAGAAAAUGAAAUUAAAGUUCUUACAAAAUGAAAUCAAAUGUUCCCAAGUGUUAAUCAACUCCAAAAUCCUCUAGAAAAUCGCCUUCUUUGCUCCCAAAAUCGACNNNNNNNNNNNNNNNNNNNNNNNNNNNNNNNNNNNNNNNNNNNNNNNNNNNNNNNNNNNNNNNNNNNNNNNNNNNNNNNNNNNNNNNNNNNNNNNNNNNNNNNNNNNNNNNNNNNNNNNNNNNNNNNNNNNNNNNNNNNNNNNNNNNNNNNNNNNNNNNNNNNNNNNNNNNNNNNNNNNNNNNNNNNNNNNNNNNNNNNNNNNNNNNNNNNNNNNNNNNNNNNNNNNNNNNNNNNNNNNNNNNNNNNNNNNNNNNNNNNNNNNNNNNNNNNNNNNNNNNNNNNNNNNNNNNNNNNNNNNNNNNNNNNNNNNNNNNNNNNNNNNNNNNNNNNNNNNNNNNNNNNNNNNNNNNNNNNNNNNNNNNNNNNNNNNNNNNNNNNNNNNNNNNNNNNNNNNNNNNNNNNNNNNNNNNNNNNNNNNNNNNNNNNNNNNNNNNNNNNNNNNNNNNNNNNNNNNNNNNNNNNNNNNNNNNNNNNNNNNNNNNNNNNNNNNNNNNNNNNNNNNNNNNNNNNNNNNNNNNNNNNNNNNNNNNNNNNNNNNNNNNNNNNNNNNNNNNNNNNNNNNNNNNNNNNNNNNNNNNNNNNNNNNNNNNNNNNNNNNNNNNNNNNNNNNNNNNNNNNNNNNNNNNNNNNNNNNNNNNNNNNNNNNNNNNNNNNNNNNNNNNNNNNNNNNNNNNNNNNNNNNNNNNNNNNNNNNNNNNNNNNNNNNNNNNNNNNNNNNNNNNNNNNNNNNNNNNNNNNNNNNNNNNNNNNNNNNNNNNNNNNNNNNNNNNNNNNNNNNNNNNNNNNNNNNNNNNNNNNNNNNNNNNNNNNNNNNNNNNNNNNNNNNNNNNNNNNNNNNNNNNNNNNNNNNNNNNNNNNNNNNNNNNNNNNNNNNNNNNNNNNNNNNNNNNNNNNNNNNNNNNNNNNNNNNNNNNNNNNNNNNNNNNNNNNNNNNNNNNNNNNNNNNNNNNNNNNNNNNNNNNNNNNNNNNNNNNNNNNNNNNNNNNNNNNNNNNNNNNNNNNNNNNNNNNNNNNNNNNNNNNNNNNNNNNNNNNNNNNNNNNNNNNNNNNNNNNNNNNNNNNNNNNNNNNNNNNNNNNNNNNNNNNNNNNNNNNNNNNNNNNNNNNNNNNNNNNNNNNNNNNNNNNNNNNNNNNNNNNNNNNNNNNNNNNNNNNNNNNNNNNNNNNNNNNNNNNNNNNNNNNNNNNNNNNNNNNNNNNNNNNNNNNNNNNNNNNNNNNNNNNNNNNNNNNNNNNNNNNNNNNNNNNNNNNNNNNNNNNNNNNNNNNNNNNNNNNNNNNNNNNNNNNNNNNNNNNNNNNNNNNNNNNNNNNNNNNNNNNNNNNNNNNNNNNNNNNNNNNNNNNNNNNNNNNNNNNNNNNNNNNNNNNNNNNNNNNNNNNNNNNNNNNNNNNNNNNNNNNNNNNNNNNNNNNNNNNNNNNNNNNNNNNNNNNNNNNNNNNNNNNNNNNNNNNNNNNNNNNNNNNNNNNNNNNNNNNNNNNNNNNNNNNNNNNNNNNNNNNNNNNNNNNNNNNNNNNNNNNNNNNNNNNNNNNNNNNNNNNNNNNNNNNNNNNNNNNNNNNNNNNNNNNNNNNNNNNNNNNNNNNNNNNNNNNNNNNNNNNNNNNNNNNNNNNNNNNNNNNNNNNNNNNNNNNNNNNNNNNNNNNNNNNNNNNNNNNNNNNNNNNNNNNNNNNNNNNNNNNNNNNNNNNNNNNNNNNNNNNNNNNNNNNNNNNNNNNNNNNNNNNNNNNNNNNNNNNNNNNNNNNNNNNNNNNNNNNNNNNNNNNNNNNNNNNNNNNNNNNNNNNNNNNNNNNNNNNNNNNNNNNNNNNNNNNNNNNNNNNNNNNNNNNNNNNNNNNNNNNNNNNNNNNNNNNNNNNNNGCAGCUACAUCGGCUGUAACAGCAGUGGGAGGAGGAGCUGUUCGAGCCUUUCAGUAUCGGGACUUCGACAACACGAAGCCCCUGACUUUUGAUGGGAAUCAGGAUCCGAUUAUUGCUAUGAGAUGGUUGUCCGACAUGGAUGGAUGUUUCUUCACAUGUUCGUGCCCUGAUGAUCAAAGGGUGAGAUGUGCUCUGAACCUAUUGCGAUCCGGGGCAAAGGAUUGGUGGAGAUUGGUUACUGGAUUAUACACUGAGGAGCAGCGAGCUACGAUUUCUUGGGAUCGGUUAAGAGACAUGUUUAGUACCCGUUAUGUUCCGCCGGUGGAGAAGGAGAGACUGGCGCAUGAGUUCUUAGACCUACGACAAGACAAGGAGUCAGUGGCAGAGAUUACUAGGAUGUUUACUGAGAGGGCGAUGUUUUGCCCGGAGUUCGCGUCAGAACAGGCACAGAUGACUCGUUAUCGGGGUACGCUUAAGAAAAAUAUCAGGCAGUUUGUCGUGACGUAGAGGUGUAGUACGUUAUUGGAGCCCCAGGAGGCCACGAGGAUGCACAAGCUGGAGAUUGAGUUGUAGUUACGUGAAGCGAGGCAGGCCCCAGGUCAGGCGCAGCCGGCGCCGAAGCGGUUCAAGGCCGCAGAUUCUAGGACGGGAGGGCAACAGGCCCACACUUGUGGGAAGUGCGGGAAGGUUCAUUCGGGAGUAUGUCGACUGAGUACUGGAUGCCAUAAAUGUGGCAAGGAGGGACAUUACGCACGGGAGUGCCGCCAGCCCGCCCCUACUCCUGAUAUGAGGAUUUGCUAUCAUUGUCAUCAGGUGGGUCAUGUGAAGACCCACUGUCUGCAGUUGGCUGCCAGAAUGGUGCAGGCUCCAGUGCCGGAUACUUUGAGGAUCAUGGAUGGGAAGCAGGGUGGUGCAGAGCCUCCGAAGGCUCGGGGACGCGCUUUUCAGCUCACUGUCGAGGAGGCCAGAUCAGCACCAGAUGUGGUGGCCGACACGUUUUUAGUGAAUUCCUUGCCCGCCUUGGUAUUGUUCGACUCGGGUGCGAGUCGGUCGUUCGUUUCCCCGACUCUCGGCAGCAGACUCGGUCUGACUUUGAGAGAGAUCGAGUGUUCGUUAUUAGUCUCUAUUGCCAGUGAGCUUGGGGUUUCCGUUUCUUUAGUUUAUCGGGAUUGCACAUUGGAGAUAUUUGGGGUACCUUUUCCGAUUAACCUGAUUCCCAUCCCCAUGAGGGCUGUCUGCAUGAUUGUGGUGAUGGAUUGGUUGAGUCGGUUCAGUGCCAUGAUCGGCUGCGAAGGUCAGCGGGUUAUAGUUCAAACCCCAAGUGGGGGAGAACUAGUGGUUUAUGGUGAGGGCACCAGAUUGGGUUUUGGAUUUUGUUUAGCUGCCAGGUCUCGACAGUAUAUUCAGCACGAGUGUGCGGGUUAUCUUGCGUACGUGGAGGAUACGCGGGUCAGUAGCCCCUCUCCAGUUUCAAAUGUACCAGUAGUCAGGGAGUUCGCCGACGUGUUUCCGGAGGAGUUACCCGGAAUACCCCCGGAGAGGCAGGUCGAGUUUAGGAUCGACCUGGUGUCGGGUGCGGCCCCUAUAGCUAAGGCCCCGUACCGACUAGCACCACCAGAGAUGCAAGAGCUGUCGUCACAGCUGCAGGAGCUGCUAGGGAAGAAGUUCAUUCGUCCGAGCAGUUCUCCAUGGGGAGCCCCGAUACUCUUCGUAAAGAAGAAGGAUGGAUCCCAUCAGAUAUGCAUAGACUAUAGGGAGUUGAACUAGUUAACGAUGAAGAAUCGUUACCUACUCCCAAGGAUAGACAACCUGUUUGAUUAGUUGCAGGGGGCAUCUUGGCUUUCCAAGAUUGAUUUAAGGUCCAGGUAAGGGAGGAGGAUGUGGAGAAGACGGUGUUCAGAACUCGGUAUGGGCAUUACGAGUUUGUGGUGAUGCCAUUUGGGCUCACCAAUGCACCGACGAUUUUCAUGGACCUGAUGAAUUGGGUCUGUAGACCGAUGCUUGAUCGCUCGGUCAUAGUGUUCAUUGACGAUGUCUUGGUAUAUUCCAAGACCUGGGAGCAACACGAGGAGCAUCUACGGGAGUUAUUGGGGGUUCUGAGGCGAGAUCAGCUUUAUCCUAAGUUCUCAACGUGCGAGUUUUGGUUACGAGAGGUUCAGUUCCUUGGGCAUCUCGUGAACCAGGAUGGGAUUUUGGUCGAUCCGGCCAAGAUCGAGGCCGUUAUGCGGUGGGAGGACCCAAAAUCCCCCUCCGACAUCAGGAGAUUUUUGGGUUUUGCAGGGUACUAUCGGAGAUUCAUUCAAGAUUUCUCCAAGAUUGUCGUACCCCUCACUCGUCUGAUGAGGAAGGGGGUGGAUUUAUGGUGGGGCCCUGAGCAGUAAAGGCCGUUUGAGACCCUCAGGCAGCGGUUGUGCGAAGCCCCACUCUUGACCCUUCCCGAAGGGGUGGAGGAUUUUGUGGUGUACUGUGAUGCAUCCAUCAUAGGUUUGGGAGCAGUCCUCAUGCAGAGAGGUAGGGUUAUCGCCUACACAUUGCGGCAGCUAAAGCCGCAUGAGUAGAGAUACCCCACACAUGACCUGGAGUUGGGAGCGGUGGUAUUUGCUCUCAAGAUUUGGAGACACUACCUCUAUGGGGUCCGCUGUACCAUCUACACGGACCACAAGAGCUUGAGGUAUAUUAUGGAUCAGCCGAACCUGAAUAUACGGCAACACAGGUGGCUAGAUGUAGUCAAGACUACGACUGUGAGAUCCUUUACCACCCUGGUAAAGAGAAUGUGGUUGCUGACGCCUUAAGUCGCAAGGCGGAUGGACCAUCCGUCCCAGUAUCAUGCAUGAGGAUAUCAGUGGGUUCCACACUCGUGAGCUUGGUCAAAGCAGCUCAGUCAGAGGGUAUGUGUGGAGAGAAAUGGAAUCCUAAGAAGAUAAAGGGUGAAAAUGCUCGGUUUGAGCAGGAUAGUCGAGGAUUGAUGACCUGUCAUGGGCGGGUCUGGGUUCCGAUGCCUGGUGGAGUCAGGCAGAUUAUAUUGGAGGAGGCUCAUAAGUCUCGUUUCUCCAUUCACCUGGGGCAACCAAGAUGUACCGGGAUUUAUGUUUGAGCUAUUGGUGGUCGUGCAUGAAGUGAGAAAUCGCUAAGUACGUGGAGAGAUGCCUGACCUGUAGAAUGGUCAAGGCUGAGUAUCAGAGGCCACACAGGAAGUUGUAGCCUCUUGAGGUUCCUAUGUGUAAAUGGGAGCAGAUCACGAUGGAUUUCAUCACCAAGUUGCCGAGGACGACAAGGGGUUUCAACACUGUAUGGGUCAUCGUGGAUCGAUUGACCAAGAGUGCUCACUUUCUUUCCAUUCGGGAGGGAUCUUCAGCCGAGAAUAUGUCCGCGAGAUUUUCACGCGACGUGGAGUUCCGGUCUCUAUUGUCUCGGAUCGUGAUGUUCGUUUCACCUCCUAAUUUUGGCAAAAGUUCCAUGAAGAACUGGGCACACCACUGCACCUCAGUACAUCUUACCAUCCGUAGACAGACGACCAGAGUGAGCGGACCAUACAGACACUUGAGGACAUGCUGAGGGCUUGUAUUAUCGAUUUUGGUGGGAGCUGAGACUCCUACUUACCUCUUGCGGAACUCUCAUACAACAACAACUUUCAUUCCAGUAUAGGUGCCCCGCCUUAUGAGCUCUUGUAUGGGAGGAUAUGUCGCACCCCGAUCUGUUGGGGUGAAGUGGGUCAUAAGGUUAUGGGUUGGACCGAGGUAGUUCUGCAAACUACCGAGAGGAUUCAGCAGAUCAGACAGAGACUUCAGAACGCUCAGAGUCGGCAAAAGAGUUAUGCUGACCGACGCCGAUCGGAAUUGGAGUUCCAGUUGAGAGAUAUGGUGCUCCUGAAGGUCUCACCCUGGAAGGGUGUGAUCUAUUUCAGGAAGAGGGGAAAAUUGGGUCACUGAUACAUCGGGCCGUUCAUGAUUGUUGCCANAGUUGGCAAGGUAGCCUAUAGACUGGAUCUCCCGGAGGAGAUCAGUCAAAUACACAGUACUUUUCACGUUUCCCAGUUGUAGAAGUGCAUUUUGGAUGAGGAUGCAGUGGUAUCUCUGGAUGAUGUUCAGGUUGACGAGCACCUGAACUAUGUGGAGCAGCCGGUGGCUAUUUUGGAAAGGAAAAUGAAAAUUUUGCGUAGCAAGGAACUACCGAUGGUCAAGGUGCAGUGGCGGCACCGUAAGGGAUCUGAGUGGACUUGGGAGCCAGAGUCCGAAAUGAGGGAGCACUACCCAAAUCUUUUCGCAACAUCCGACUUUAGGGACGAAGUCUAGAUCAAGUGGGGGAGAGUUGUAACGCCCCGAACCUAGCAGUUAUAUUUUGAAACCCGCCUUCUUUUGAUUCUUGUCUUUGACAACCUAGAAGAAGUUCUGUUGAGUCCCGGGGAGUUUAGGGGCUAAAGUUGAAACUUUGGGCCAAAGAGGGAGUACGCGACGCGUACAUAAAAGUACGCUGGGUGUAAGUUUAUUUAUGUUGGGUGUACUCGUGUCAGCUAAAAACCCUAAUGUUCGAGGUUGGGACUAUAUAAACACCCUUAUGGCUCAUUCUUUUUCCUUACCUCAGCCUCCAUACCUCAGAAAACGCCCCAAAACCCUAGUUUGUGUGUGUAGAGUGUGUUAGUGUGCAUCUUGAGCCUUUGAGAGUGGAGUUAUUGCACCAAGAAGCUAGAGGAGGAAAGCAAGGCCUUAGAUCUGAAGUUGGGUUACACCAUUUGAGCUCCAGAAAGUAAAAAGAUUGAAACUUUAUGCUUAUUUACUUUAGAUCUAGAAAUUUUAGCUUUUUGAAGGUCUUAUGGACCCUAGAUUUCCCAAGAUGAUGCAUGUAAAGUUCUAGACGAAAUAAGUUGUCCUUUUAGACGUUUUGAGAGGCCUUAAGUGAUAAAAAUCAGUCCUUUUUAGCUAGACUUGAUCCAUGCAUGUGAUAAAAAGGUCUUAAUGAGUUAAGACUAUGAGUUAAGGACUUUUUGGACGUCCAAAGUGAUAAAGUCCAAAACUUUAUGAUUCUAUGGCAUAUUUGUUCGAUGGAUCUGGAAUAUGGGUUCAAGAGCUCAAACCAUUAAGCACUUAUUAAGAUCUUAGUAAAGCCCGCGUACGCCCCGCGUAAUAUCUGUACGCCCAGCGUACAUGGUCAGCGGUCCCGAUGAUGGUCAACGAAGAACUAUGCUACCCCCAGCGUAACUGGGAGGUACGCCCCGCGCACGCUCCCUGUUGGACUUUUAGCUUGUGGGCUUUAUGCUUUGGGCCGGUUAUGGGUCAUUUGGGUUAAUCCCUUAAUGGACUCUGGAUAUAGUGCUGUUUGGGCUACGUUGGACUUGUAGGAUUUGUUUAGGCCCAAUAUUUGAUAAAUUGGGCCAAUAUUAGAUUUGGACAUUUUGGGUCUCUUGAUAUCUUCAAGGUCUUGUUAAGUAAUUCGUUUUCUUUAUCUAUCAGUCAAGGGUGUCGGGUCUAGCAGUUGAAGACUCUCAGUUCAGUUUUGCACUAUUGUCAGGUGAGUUCUCCUCACUAUACCAACAGGGUCUACGACACUAGGUCAGUCCCUUGGGAUUUUAUCCCGGAGUUAGUAUGUGUUUCAUAUUCGUGAUCAGUUAGAUUGGUACCCUAGUACUUAGGGUGUUAUGCGGUUAUGAUCUGUUGGAUUGGUUCCUUGAUAGAUAGAAUGGUGCUAUGGUUAGCGGUUAGUGUGAUCUAUGCUUAUUGCUUGAUUAUGUGCUAUUUAUAUGUCGACAUACAUGGAUGGGUUGGGUUGAGGUGGUGUCCUACUUUAUGCGGUUGAGACCAAUGUACCCGGGGUGGUCCGGAUAGGCUGUAGGCCCGUAGGAGGCGGUCCAGUCAUGUCGAAGGCUCGAGAGCGGUCCAGAUAGGCUGUAGGUCCAUGGGAGGCGGUCCAGUCUGGCUGAAGGCUCAUUAUGCAUGCUGUUUGUUAUUAUUGGAAGUUUGAGGUUGGUAUUUUUGGGGGUAACUCACUAAGCCUCCGAGCUUACAUUUUAUCGAUUAUUGUUUCAGGUACCUCAGCUGACCAUGGCAAGGCAAAGGCGUGAUGUACACAUCCCCGUUUUUAUACUUUUGGAUUUCUGGGAACUCUGAUGUGAAAACGUUUUAAAAGCAAUUAGAAUUUGUUGAUGUUUGAAUCACUUUUAUUUGUGUAAAAAUGAUUUUGGAAAGUUUAAAUUUCUUCAAAAAAAUUUGGGUUGUUACAAUGCUUAUAAGUUUUAGUAGAUCAUAGGAAUUACUUGCAAAUUGUUUGUUAGUGUAAUUCUUGAUCUUAAUGCCAGUUAAUGGACUCUAUAACUUGUCCUCAAGUUAUGGAAUUCCGAAAGUCUUUUCUUUAAAACCAUUAAAACUCAUAAGUUAUUGAAUAUGAAAGGUUUUGAAUAGUUUCAAAACUUGCCCUCAACUUUUGGAAUUUGUAAAGUCACUUUAGAAAACUUUAAUUCCAAACCCUAGAGUUUUAAAAGUUAAAAUUUAACCCUUAUACUUUAUAGUAUUAUAAGUUAAUAAUAUAUAUACGUAUAAGAGCAAGUCAGUUUUACUGUUAGUAGGCCUCAUUCACGAAGUUGGUCUAUAAGGGGGUAUAAGGUUGUUGCUUAUAAAUGGCAGCUUAAUGAGUGUCCACUCUCACCCACCGCUUCCUUGAAUGGUGGAGGGUCAUUAGCCAAAUGGGUAGGACAAGGACUAUAAUUCUCAUUAAAAGUAUAAUGAUAAAUAUAAAUUAACUAAACCUUUUUAUAAAUUCUCAAUCUUAGUUACUUUAGGAAAAUGUGAAUUUGGUGCUAUCCCAUGAAAAUUACACUUUGUACCUUACCAAGUCAUUGGUGGAGCGUGUGUGGGUAACCGACACACUAACAUGGACUAGUAAGAGUGGCAAAGGGUGACUUAAUGUUUAUCAUAGAUCGGUGGAGCGCGUGUGUGUAACCGACACAUUGAUUAGGUGAUAAAGAUUAAGGGUACCAAGUUAAUUUGCAUUGUUAUUCACACCAAGUUUGUGAUCCUCGGCAUCCCAGUUACAAACUUGAGAGGUCAUAAUAGAGACUUAAACAUGCCAUUGAAAAGUUCAAUGAAUCUCAAAAGAUCUAGGAGUUUCAAUCCAAUUAAAACCUAAUAAUUUAUUUCGUUUCUCAUUGUGGAAAUUGGUGAUUCGUCAUUCGCCUACCUUCAAAUAUUUUAUAGCUUGGAUUACGACAUCCCUCUUUCAAGUUAUAAAGUAUUGUGUUGGGUCCUAGCCAUAAUAUUACAUUUGGGUGUCUUAUUAAGGAUCCUAUAUCUAAUCUAAACUUGUCUUUCUUCUCUCCAGAUGUCUUCCAACAAUGCUGCUUCUGGCUCAAACCUUACCGACACCUUCUCUCUCAUGAACCUCUAUGGGAGAGUCAUCUUUGAUGGUUGAAACUUUAAUGAUUGGAUCAGGAACAUCAGGAUGGUCACACGUUACGAGGACAAGGAAUAUGUCCUCAACAAGGCGCUGAAAGAAAUUGAUGAGUCUACUACUACUCCAAAGGAGAUCGCUGACUUUAGGGCAUUUGAGAGAGAUGCUACCAAGGUGGCAUGUCUCAUGUUGGCCACAAUGAAACCUGAACUCCAGAAGUCCUAUGAGGACUUUUACCCUUUUGAGAUGCACAUGGACUUGAUGGACCGCUACCAUCAAAGUGUUGGUCAAGAGAGGUAUGAAAUCAUCUCUUCCAUGAUAACAACCCGAAUGAAGGAUGGUGAAUCCAUCACGGGCCACAUACAGAAAAUGCAAAGGUUUGUGGACCAUUUGCUGAAGUUGAAUGUGAACUUCCCCGAGGAGUUGGCUAUUGACAUCAUACUGCACUCCUUACCUACUUGUUAUGAUCAAUUCCGAAUGACCUAUCACAUGAACAAGGAGGAGGUCACACUCAGCAAGCUUCAAGGACUUUUGAAGACUGCCAAAACUGGUCUCAAAGGUAAAUCGGUUGUUACUACUCAUACUCUUAACACCACCCCUGUUCUGGAAAUCAAGGAAAGUAGAGGGAAGAAGAGGAAGACACCUUCGAAGGGUACUAAGGGAAAGUCUAUUGCUGGCUCCUCUUCAAGUGGAACCAAAGGUGGUUUUGUCACUCCUUCUUCCAACCCAAAGAAAGGUCAAUGCUUCUAUUGUCAGGAAAAGGGGCACUGGAAAAGAAACUGCCCAAGUACCUGCAAGAUGUUAAGGAUGGGAAGGUCAAACUUACCCAUGUAGGUAUUUACACUAUAUUGUCUAAUAACUCACUGCAUACUAAUUCUUGGGUCCUUUAUACAGGUUGUGGUAUUCAUAUAUGUUCUGAUUUGCAGGGUCUAAGAAGAAGUGAUGAUGUGGAGCACGGAAAGAUAAACUUGAUCAUGGGGAAUAGGAAAGCUUCACCUGUCACCAAGAUUGGAGUUUAUUUUUUGUUGCUAAGUAGUAGGUUAUUGUUAGAUUUGAAUAAGUGUUGUUACUCGUCCGAAAUGAUGAGAAAUAUUAUUUCUUUCCACGGUUUGUACAAACAAGGAUUUACUUUUUCAUUUGAUAAUGAAUGUGGUGGUAUUAAUGCUUUUUUUAAUAAUAUUCUUUAUUUUAAUGCAUUACCUUGUGAUGGUGUAUAUGAAACUGUGUCGGUUGUAGAUAACUUAGGAAAUAAUGUAUUGCAUAUCGAUUCUUCCAUUAGUUUGGAUAAAGCAUCCUUGUGACAUUGUCGUCUUGGACAUGUUAACAAGAAGUGCAUAGGCCAACUCUAGAAGGCUGGAGUCUUGGAGUCAUUUGACUUAAGGUUAGAUGAUAGUUGCGGGUCUUGUUUGCUUGGAAAAAUGACAAAGUCACCCUUCACUGGUAAUUAUGCUAGGGUUGAAGGUUUUUUGGACCUCAUACACAUAGAUGUAUGUGGACCCUUCAGAACCGCCACAAAGGAUGCUAACCGCUUCUAUGUGACUUUUACCGAUGAUUACAGUAGAUAUGGUUAUGUCUACUUAAUCAAGCAUAAGUCAGAAACUUUCGAAAAGUUCAAGGAGUUUAAACAGGAAGUGGAGAAUCAGCUGGGCAGAAACAUUAAGAUGCUUCGAUCCGAUCGAGAAGGAGAGUAUCUUAGUACAGAGUUCCUUGACUAUCUUAAGGAAUGUGGAAUUGUUUCACAAUUGACACCUCCCAGAACACUACAGCUUAAUGGCGUGUCUGAGAGGCGCAAUCGAACCUUUUUGGACAUGGUUCGUUCCAUGAUUAGUUGAGCUUCGUUACCAAUCUCAUUCUAGAGGUAUGCCUUAGAGACUGCUGCUCAUAUCCUAAAUCUAGUCCCUACCAAGAAGGUUGCCAAAACACCUCACGAGAUGUGGACUGGGAAAGUUCCUAAUUUAGACCACAACAAGAUUUGGGGUUGUGAGGCUUUCGUGAGACGUGAGACUCAGGACAAACUCGAAUCUCGUAGUGAGCGGUGUAUUUUCAUCGGCUACCCACAUAAAUCCUUUGGUUACCUCUUCUACAGAGCCAGUGAGAAUGUGGUCUUUGUGGCAAGGAGAGGGGUCUUUGAGAGAGAGAGAGUUUAUAAGCCAAGGAAACAGUGGGAGGAAAAUUGACCUUAAAGAACUUCAAGAGUCGAGCGGUGAAGGAACCUCAAACCCCAGAAUCAACCUGAGGAGGAAACUACUGUUGAUGAGUCCGUACCUCUGAGGCGUUCCACAAGAGUUAGGAAUCCACUUGAGCAUUACUAUGGUUUUCAUAUUACUGUGGAAGGUGAUGCAUUUAUCAGUGAUAGUACACUGGUAAAUUUGGAUGAUCCUAACAACUUUAAGGAAGCCAUGGCAGGCCCUGAGUCUGCCAAAUGGAAAUAGGCCAUGGACAGCGAGAUUCAGUCCAUGUAUGACAAUCAAGUUUGGAACUUGGUUGACAAUGUACCGGGUCGUAAGACGGCCGGGUGCAAAUGGAUCUUCAAGAAGAAGACCGACAUGGAUGGGAAUGUACACACUUAUAAAGCGCGACUGGUUGCGAAGGGCUUUACUCAAACUCCGAGAGUUGACUAUGAUGAGACCUUCUCACCAGUAGCGAAGAUUAAGUCUAUUAGGGUUAUGCUAGCCAUAGCUGCAUUCAUGAUUAUGAAAUAUGACAAAUGGAUGUCAAAACCGCUUUCCUUAAUGGAAAGUUGGACAAGGAUGUUUACAUGAAUCAGUCAGAGGGUUUUGUCGAUGCAAAACACCCUAAUAGAGUGUGUAAGCUUGAGAAAUCCAUCUAUGGAUUGAAACAAACAUCUCACAGAUGGUAUCUUUGUUUUGAUGAGAAAGUCAAAGAGUUUGGUUUUUCUAGGAGCGAUGCUGAGUCAUGUGAAUAUGUUAAGGCUAGUGGGAGUAUAGUUAGCCUUUUGGUAUUAUAUGUGCACCAAAAACAGUUCAUGAUCUGAAACGGGUUUAGGUGAAAUCGGUUAGGUUUGAAACAGCUCUAUCCAUCGGUUUGGGACCGGUUUUACAGAAACAUGAUUUGAUGCAUAAAUAUUUAGCAUGGAGGUUAAUAUAAUAAGCAACAAGGAGGUUAAUAUACUUUCUAUUGUAAGCAAACUUCAAGUAGAGGCACCAAAACAUCAAAUUUAGCUUUAUGUGUCUUGUUAAACUUUGUGUUUUAUGUAUGUAUUGUUUAAAUUCAAGUAGCUGCAGAAAGCACAUUAUAGUGGGAUAACUUCUUCUUUUUGUCCCCUCUACCGAGAAUCAAGACACAAAGUGGGCCAUAGACAAAAAAAAAAAAAAAAAAAAAAAAAAAAAAAAAAAAAACCUCAAUCUGACCGGUUUUUCCAAACCAGUGUCAAUCUGGUUUGUAUACACUUUCAAUCUGAUCAGGUUUUAGCCUCAAGUGGUUUUGACUUUGUUGACUUAAACCCAACUGGUUAUAAAACCGAUCCAAUUUCCAAAAAGAACCUGUUUGUGUACCUCUACAUUUUGGUGUUAAACAAAAUUGGCAAAUUCGUUUCCAUUUAUUUCUUAUUAAACCUAUAAAAAACAGAUGUCUCAAUCUCUGAACAUCUAAUCUCGUGUCUGAGUGCAUACUUUUUUUACACGUACAAUAUUUUGGUCAACGUCGUGAAGUGUUUCAAUCAUAUCACCCCAAUUAAAAAUAGCCAUUGAAAUUAAGAUUACUAAUAACACUACUGGUAAUAAAUUUUAUUCCAUGUGAAAGUGAACCGAGAUUCAUACUGAAACUUCUAUCUGUGUAAAAUGCUAGGUUUAUAUCCUUAUAUAGGUUUGAAUACCCAAUCAUAAAGCGUUUAUGAGCACUAGUAUCAAAUUUAGUGGUGCUAUCUCUAAAGUAGCAACGCCUUAAAAAGGCUUGUGUUGCAAUUUUAAUAAUCAGAUCAAGGCAUCUUCUUCCACAAGAGCUCGUGUAUUAAACCACAAUUUUCUUGCAACUUUUUACGUGACGUGGGGGAUGGAAAGAUUGAUGGGCAAUCGCUAGCCAAUGUUGCCUCUUGGACAAUAUAUGACAGGGGGAAAUAAACGAAUCCUCUUUUCAAAUUUCAACCCAUAGAUAUAUAGCAAUGUAAUCUAGCUAGCUAGAAAUUAAUAUACUUUUGCCAAGAUGCUUGGUAAUUACAAGGCCCAAAAAUCAAAGCUUCUAGUUGUUUACGAUGACAACGCAAAUUAAAUCAUCUUCUUUCAACAAAUUCUGCUAUAUCAUGUGUGAGUUCAAUGAAGGUCUCUUCUUUGCAUGGGAGCGUUAGACCUCCCAUAGGAUGAUCAUAUCCAAACUCUUCUUCCGAUAGCUUCAGCAAGGUCUGAAAAGAAGGAUGUUCUAGGUAUGUUAUGGGAAUUAUAAAUCUCUUGUUUGUGCCUUCACCAACAUAUACUGUGAUACAGCCUUUUGGUACAUCAUUAAUGGUUGCUGAGGCUGAAUCAUAUCUUGCCAUUCCCAGCCUGCCACACAAGAUUUUUGGAAAUCUGUGUAUGCCCAUGAUCACAAUGACAGUCUAACUUCGAAAUUAAAACUAUUUGAUGGCAGAGAGCACGAGUAUUGAAUAAAAAUUGGGGAGAAGCUCAAUAAGUUGAGUUUCCAUACAAAAUAAAUAUGGGUAUAUAUAGGCAUCUAGUUGCUACAAAGUCCAGAAUGCGAAACUAUGAACAUAAUCGAUUUUCGUAUAUUUCUAUCAAUUUAAUUUGGAUACUCCGCAUCUUAUACCUUUUGGUGUAUCCAAAGAUAAAUUCCCUUUUGUAUCACAGUUGUGUUUGCAUACGGAAAGCAACAUGAAUAUGAAUAAUUGAGAUAAUCUUAGUGUGGCCAUUUUGGAUUAUACCAAUUGUACUAUACCAUACUAGUAGGUAUUCCAUAUUAUUUAAUAAUUUUCCAAACAAUUUUAACAAAAUGUUCCUGUGUCACUAAAGAAAGUUGCACUACUACAAAAAAAGAGCAAUACCGACGGCGAAAACCGUCGGUAAUCCGUCGCUAAUAGGCUUUACCGACGGAAUUCCAACAGACCAAAAUCCGUCGGUGUAUUCUUGUCGCUAAUUUUUUGUAACAGAUUUCCAAUGGCUACACCAAAUUUUUAGCAACGGAAUUUUCCGUCAGUAAAUAGUAACCGAUCACCGACAGAAAUAGUUUUGCAAUGGAUUACCGACAGAAUGUUUUUAUAACAGAUUACCGACAGAAUAACUUACUAACAGAUUACCAACGUAAUCUCAGAAUAGCUUACUAACGGAUUAGCGACGGAUUUUUGUGACAGAUUAGCGACGGAUUUUUGUGACAGAUUAUCAAAAAACAAUUAUAAAUUCAUGAAACAUUAAAAUAAUUACAUAUUCAACAAAGAAAAAAUACAAAAAUAUACAUAAAAAUAUAUUUAAAAUCAACAAAUAUAAAAAUAAAUAAUUUUCAAUAUUCAACAUCCAUUAAGCCAUCAAAAAUAAUAAUUACAUAAAAAUACAUUCUUUUAUAUUAAUUGGGCAAAAAUGUAAUAGAAAAACACAACACUCAGAAAUGCCAAACAUAAACUUUUUUAAACAUAAAUAAUAUAAGCUUCAGUUCCUCUGCCAAAAUUAGAUGACACAAAACAAGCCAAUCUUUUUCCAAACGCCUGUAGAAAAUUUAAAAUUGAUAUCCUAUUUAUAUUAAAAGUAACACAUCACUGUAUAAAUUGGUUAAAAACUUACUGUUAGACUUUCGAUACUAAUCCCUUGUGGCCAUGGAGGUUCGCCUGCAGACUCCAGGGNAGUGACUCCAGGGCAUGAGGCAAAGCCUCAUGUCUGCAGCGGGGGAUUAGUCGGUGCGCGAAAGCUGGCCCGGAAACCCUCGUUAGGGAAGUUCCCUUUCCAAAAAAAAGCUGGUUAGUGAAUCAAGAUAGGAAGUUUAAAGCUGUGUUUAAAAGAUUAAUUUUUUGGUAAAUUGUAACAAGCACUUAUUGAGAGUGAAUCUUACUUGUAAAAUCAAAUUGUUUGCAAGAAGAUAAUCUUGCAUUUCUCGAUCCAAUACGAAUCUUAAGGUUGGAGGCACCUAUAAACAAGGUAAUGGCGAACAAAGUUUUUAUAAUUCCAAUGGAAUGAAUCAUUCCAUUCCUUCCCCAAUUCCAUCAUAACAAACAAACACCACCUAUGAUAAAAGGCAAGAGAAAAAACCAGUACACGAUACAAAAUUUUCAAACCUUAAGCAAUAGCUUUCCGGUUCCUAACACAAAUCCGGCAUCAGUGUUUCCAAUUCCGGUAGCAAACUGGCCAAAUGCUCCAGCAGUACACGUGUGGGAAUCGGUACCAAGUAAGACCUGAAUACAAACCAUGAACAAAGUUAACUAAUAUAACAUGUCUAAUUACUUAUAUAAAAUUGAAUUUAAUUAAUUUGUGUGUACCCCUCCAGGCCUACAAUGACCUUGUAACGUGGCACACACCUUUGUAAUCAGUAUUACAGUAGCAUUGAGACAUUGAGAGAUUGAUGAGGAUGCUAAAUUUCUAAUUAUUAUAAGAGCAUGGAUUAUCAUUAAACAGUAAAGUAUGUUGACAAUAUUGGUAGUGAGAGUAAAGUAAGUUGCUAUUUAUGGACAUUUUCUCUACCAUGAGCAAGAAAGUCUAAAACACCUAAUUAUGGACAUUUGCACCUCCAAGAUCUUCAAAGGAUACUUCUUUACCAGUAGUAUCAGCCUGGAAAUUAGUAAUAUUAGAUAAAUAUAUAAAAACCAAACAUAAAUAUAACAAAUAUCCAAGCUAAACUUACCUUCACAAGUGGUGGGCCUGCUAAGACAAUUUUAUCAACAACAUAACCGGGGAAGAACACCAAACAGCCACCAGGGACAACUUUGCAUCCUAUACAACAAACAAUCACAACAUCAAUAAAGAAAAUACCUCUUGAAUAAAUAUUUGUGGCAUAUCUACUAAUUCAUGCUAAUUAUCCAUUAAUUAAAUGGGAUCAUUUAUUUGUUAUUAAAAGCGAUGCAGUUUCUUUGUUUUUUAUUUCCAUUAAAAAACCGUUUAUAUGCAACUCUUUUUAUUAAUCAAUCAUCAUAAUAAUCAUAAUACUAAUAAUAAUGAUAAUAAUAACAAUGCUAUAACAACAUGAAGGACUUGCUUUUAAUAACAGGGAGGACCAGAAAGUUACAAGGACCUUAAAUGAGGACCAAAAAUGUAAUUUACUGUUUGAUACAUUAUGGUAAAAGUAAUAAAUACUAAUACAUUAUCUUAAAUUGAUCCGUUUCCAAAAAAAAUCUUAAAUUGAAGGUUCAAAAUCAAAAAGCCUCACCUGUGUAAAGUUAAUAACUAAUAAGUAUUAAUAUUUUAAUUGUUCCAUGGUAUAUUUAUGUUUACAAGAAAAUAGACUUCUAGUUUUUUCGUUUACUAGGUAAUUGACACUUUUGUAGGGCAUCAAAUAUUUUCAGAAUGACAUUUUUCAUGUUUACAAUUUUAGAAUAUGAAUUUAUCUAGUUCCCGUUCCGGUUAUGGAAUUGCAAAUACCAGAACGGACUCAAUUCCAUAGGCUGAUUUACACCAAGUUUAGAGAGUGUGUAGAAAUAGGAAUAAAGUUCAAAAAGUGAGCCAUAGUAGUAGUAUUCCCUAUAAAAAAUAGUUAAGCCUGAGACACUCGAAGCUAGCCUGAAGCCUAAGUCCAUGUCACUAUUUUAAGUUGAAAAUAUUACUAGUGAAUCUGUGAAUGUGAUAUUUAUCCAGUUGUAAAGAUAGUAAAGCAAGCAUGGAUAAGUGGUAAUUUGAGUAUUCUAAUAUAUUUUCAUAUUUACAAUUCUGUAUUUUACUUACGUCAAGGUUCAUACCUGUAAUGGAGUAAGUAACGGUGGAAGAAACUUCUUUGUUGGUCCACUUCCAAAUGUUGAAGGCAAAGUCAAAAUCUGUGCAAUAAAUGUUCCGGAUCCUAUUAUAAUUCUUGCUACAAGAAACAAAAUGGAAUUUCUCAUCAAUUAAAACUUAACAUUACAAUAAAAUAAACCAAGAGGGAUUCUUUAAGUAACAAGUCAUACCUAACCAUUGUGCCCAUUCUAAAAUUAUAUUAGAGAAUAGAAAUGCCUAGUGGAGGAUUUCUUUUCCUUUUUCAUCAUACAAAACAUCUUCAUACGUUUGUACCUAAAACACAAAGAUUAGAUACCCAUAAUAAUAUCAUAGUCUAUAUUGUGAUGUAAAGGAAAUUGGGAAAAUGGAAUCAUGAAAGCACCUUUAACCGGUUAGGCUUGUUGUCAUCCUUAUUCCCAAGUAAAGGUUCAUGUAGUUCAUCCAAAUCUGCACCUAUUAAAUGCUCAUGUUUUCUUUACCGCCGACAUCUCCAUGAUGGAGUCUUCUCCCUAUCGCUCGUGAUGUCAUUAGUCCUAGAAUGUUUAAUUUUUCAUACGCCUGUUCAUAUUUAAUCAAGAAACCACGUUUUGAAGUUCAAAUUUGAUAUGCUCAGAAGCUAUGCAGAGCUAGAUUCAUAAUCUUUGAGUUCUGAAGUCAAACCACAUCCCCCAAUUCAAAUUCGAUGCGGACUAUGAGGAAUUACCGGUAAUUAUACUUUAGUUGAAGAUCUAGAGCAACUCAUACGAUUACGAACUAUAGUAAACAUGACCUAAAUAUUCAGGUAAUGAAACAAACCUGUAAUUGAUGAAUGUCAGUAAGAUUGACUGUUGUCGGAGGUAGAUGUCGGUGAAACGGAAGCAAUAGUCGGCGGCAGACGGUGGCUUUGGUGCAACGGAACGUCGAAUAGGAGGCGGACAUGAGGAAUCACUUAGUCGAGUGAUGGCGGAGUCAAGCGACGGAGUCAGGGUUCUCGGUUCCGGUGAAGGUGAAACACAACCUCCGGCGAUGGCGGCUAGGGUUAUGUCGUUUUUCAAAUGAUGGUGGUGACGUGAGGUCGUCGUGAAGGGGAUCCCUGCUUUGAACCAGCUUAGGUUAAGCCGAUAUACACCCCCCUUAAACAACCUUCUAUUUGUAUAUUUACCAAAAUGCCCCACAGUUUAUAAAUAUUAAGUGUUUAUUUUACCAACGAAAUAGCGGCUGAAUUAAGAAUUUGUUGUUUUCCGUCGGUAAACCGUCGGUAUUUUGUAACAGAUUACCAACGGAGUUUAUACUGUUGCCAAACCGUCGCAAUACCGUCACUAAUAUCCUAACUAUUCGUCUGUCAGAAAUCCGUCGGUAUUCCGUUGCUAUUCCCAACGAAUUUUUCCGUCGCUGAAAUUCUGUCGGUAAUGCCUAAUUUUCUAGUAGUGUUGGUUUUUAGCAAACAUAAAAUUUAAGAUAGAUAAUCUUAGUGUGGUGAUCAUAUGAGAAUAAAAACAAUUGGACAAUGCUCUACUUACAUUUAUCAAACAGGAAAUUUUUUAUUGUAAUCGUCUUUUACUUUCGGAUGUAACAUGUUAUCAUUAACGUAGUUGCCUGUAAUCAGGUUAUUAAUUCUAUCAAAUAACAACCAAAUUAUAUGUCAUUCUCUAUUUUGGGGAACAUGUAGGUCAUUGGAGUUUGACACAGUUUCAUCUCUUCAACGAGAAGUUCAAGAACUUGAGGCUUCAUUCAAAACAAAAUCUCUUGUAAAUAGGCCUCUAGAUAAGUAGAAAAUGAAGAUGAUGAAAUUGUUAAAGGGAAUUUAAGUACAUCAAAAUCAACAGAGCAUAUCUACAACCAGAUGAUACAAGAGAUCAAGAAUCUAACAUUUACGGUUUAUUCAAUGAUAAAAUCUCCUUGAUAUUGUAGUUGUGUUGCUAAACAAAAUCUACCGUUAAUGUGAAUAUUCGUGUUAUGUUACAUUCUGUUUAAGGGAAUCCUUUCUAGGCUUGGCCUAUGGAAAAGUUAGUUGGAGACCGCUAAUAUACUAUAUGAAUUCACAUUUGUUGGUGUUAAUCAGAAUUAGGUCAAAGCCACAUGUUUUAUUUAGGGGUAUUUUAGUCUUAUUUGUUUAGUGUUUUUGCUUUGGUAUUGCAUAGUUUUAGGGGUCAAAUAAAUAAUGUUUUGUUACUGAAUAGGUGGUAGUAAUGGUCCUAGUUUUUUGGUAUCUUUUUAGCAUUUAAACUCUUGUAAUCGUUGGUAGUCUGCAAUGGAAAAACACAGAAAGUUAGUCCCAGACACCACUGUUUUGUUUAUCAUCUUUUGACAGCAAUUGUGUGUUGUGUUUUGGCGCCCAUCUGUGCAGGCUUAGUUCUAACACAAUUAACUAGAAUUGUUUAAAUGUUAUUGGUUCUAUUCUUUUAUUGGCUUAUUGUUGCAAUUAAUUUCUGCAACAUUAGUGACAUGUUAGCGAUGGAUCUCACACAAAUACUAAUAAUUGAUUUCUAAAGCCAACCUAACCGAUUAGCUAAGGUUAUAAGGCCAUGGUUAAUCCAUCAAAAAGAUUUAAAAAUUACGCAGAUUAGUGUAAGAAUUACUCCCUUCGUUUCAAAAUUAUUGUCCACGUUUGACGUUUUAAGUCUCUUUUGUUCAACUUUGACCUUAAAUAAUUUAAUUUUUGUUAUAUAAUUUUUUAUGCAAGAUAUAUGAAUAGAUUGUUUUUUAAAUGUAUUUUCAUUGUUAUAAGUUUCAUCAACAAUUAUAUCAUACAAAUAAAGUUAUUUAUGGUCAAAGUUGACAUGGAAAAACCUCAAAAGUCAAACAUGGACAAUAAUUUUGGGAUGGAGGGAGUAUAUAGUAUCUAAUUGACCAAAAUUUCGUUGCUAUAGGCUAGCAACGAACAUUAGACCCUCUACAUCGGGUCUUUCAAAAACAAAUUGCAAUGCCACUAAGCUAGUUUUUAAUGCCAUUUGGAUUUCUUCUUUCUAUAUCUGCAAGACUUGCAAGUCUUGUAAGUGAUUUUAUAUUAUUAUUUUAAUAUAACAAUCAUAUUUAAAUACUAUAACCAAUCAAAUAUUGUUAUGUUAAAUAGGCCCACAAAUUUCUCUUUCCUAACACUAAUGACUUAUAUUGAGUUGACAUUUUUUUGCAAGAUCUUAAACAUGCACCGAUGUGGUUGCUCAUACACUCAAGGUAGUAGAUACCUAUAAAUACUAUAGAGACAGACUACAAUACAACGAAACUAAUAAACACUUUUGGAAAUAGUUUUUUUUGUCACCCUCAAAAAGUCAUUUUUCAUACGGAACAUUUUCCUAAAUUUUAAAACAGCUUAUGACUUAUAAAGAUGCAAAGACUAUAAGGCUGAGGUGUAACAUCCCAAAAUUCAAGGCCAAAAAUUUUAUUUUUAAAUAAAUUGUAACAUAAAACCAUCGUAAUAAAAACUUUCAUAAUGAUAUUUCAUGUCACAACCAAUGUGUCGAUAAUCCAAAACAUGUCCCCAUAAAAACCAUUUGUCAAAAGGAAAAUAAAUCAGAGUACAUUCCCAGGAAGCUCCAUGCGGAAAACAUGUGUGUGUGUGUGAUGCGUUGCUACACCGCCGGCUCCUUCCCCUUGGACGAAGAGGUACCUGAAACCAAAACUGAAACUGUAAGCACGAAGCUUAGUGAAUUCCCCCAUCAUACCCAUAGCACAUAAUCAUCGGUAUCUUUCAACCGGUAACCAGGAGCUAACCUCCCCUUCGGUAUCUUUCAACCGGUAACUGGGAGCUACCUUCCCCUUCAGUAUCUUACAACCGGUAACCGAGAGCUACCCUCCCCUUCGGUAUCUUUCAACCCGUAACCGAGAACUAUCCUUCCCUUCGGUAUCUUUCAACCGGUAACUGGGAGCUACCUUCCCCUUCAGUAUCUUACAACCGGUAACCGAGAGCUACCCUCCCCUUCGGUAUCUUUCAACCGGUAUCUGGGGACUAUUUCACCCCUAUCCCUAUUACAUAUUACAGGUCAUAACAUAUUGGUUUCACAAUAACAUACACAAGCAUACUGAGUCACAUAAUGACAUAUCAUAAUCAUACUACUAUACAUGCAUGGGUUUUAUCCACCCCUUCGGUAUUUUUCAACCGGUAACCAGGGCUAGCGUGCCCUACUACUACUAAACACAUUCUCAACACAGAUAUAACAACUAGACAAUUAUCACAAAGAUAACCAUCUCAACCAUAAUCACAUACUGGUGGGCCGACAUUGGUGCCUUAGACCCACCCUUACUGGAAGGUAACUCACCUCGUAAGGCUGACUGCUAAAAAGCUGAUUGACAGAUGUCUGACUACUGCUCCGGUGAUCCUAUGGCUAUAAUUCCCAUAAAACACUUAGUCAGACACUGAUAACUGUUCUUAGGAUAAAAUACUAUUCUACNGAUAAAAUGACUAUUCUACCCCUUACCAAGUCAAAGUCAAAGUCAAAGUCAAAGUCAAAGUCAACUUCUAGUUGACCUGACUCACCGAGUUAGGCCUCCAACUCGUCGAGUCCCUACCCUUCAUCUGUCCUUCUUCACGCUUCUACUCGUCGAGUUUAGCAAUGACUCGAUGAGUUCUCCUUCUAAUACAACCUUGAAUAAACCUUCAUCCGACUCGUCGAGUUGCAUGAACAACUCGUCGACUUCAUACUUGUCCUACAAACAAGUCCUGACCUUGACUCGCCGAUUUGUAUGAACAACUUGUCGAGUUCAUAUUCAAUAGUUGGGAGAUUGCCUUGGACUUGCCGAUUCUGCUCAUGCACUCGUCGAGUCCUAUGAACUCCAGGUCUAUGGCUAAGUCCAAUGCUUUGGGUCACUUCCCCGGACCCUUCUAAGGCCAUUCUAACACUCACAUGGUUCAUUUGAACCCUAACAGAAAAGGGAAGUCAAGCCUCAGACUCACUGUGUCCCAAGAACAACUCUCCGAGUCGAGGUUGUCCAAGUCUUAUUUCUCGAUUUCUGAUGUACAACACUUGACCAAAUGAUAGAUCUAGGCUCCUAAGAUCGAUCUAGCACGUAAAGUUAUGAACUUUACGUGUAUGCAUGGGAUCUAAUACAAGAAGGAGCAAGGUGUCGACUUUAUACCUUCCAAGAACUGUAGAUGAUGCACAAGUUCGACUCAUCUGGCCAACCUCUUGAUUCCUCAAGCUUCUCCUUCCUUCUUGCCACCACAAACCACCAAGAAUCACCAAAAGGCCUUAGAUCUUCACCAAGAACGAUUAGGGUUUGAUGCGAGGGGGUUCUGAGAGCAUAAGGGAUGAGGGGGGCUGAAUAAGACAUUUAAAUAGGGUGCAAACCCUUGGAUUAGGGUUUUUUCCAACCAGAGUCUACUCGUCGAGACAUGCCGCCGACUCGACAAGUUCGCCACCUAACCCCCGGGUCUAAGUCGCUACUACUCGACGAGUUGUCCAUCAACUCGCCGAGUCUUAGUCCAAAUCGCGAAAAACACUUGAAUGAAAUGCAUACCAGGAACCGGGUGCUACAUGAGGGGUAUCCUCACGCGUGAUGUAUGAAUGAAGAUGAGGCCACGUAGGUAAUUUACCAUUCCACAACUAAUCCACUAGGUUGUGGAAAUGGUGUUCACAUGUGGAUGGAUAGGUAGUGAAGAGGCAAAAAUAAAAGAGAGAAAUAGAGAAAAUAUGUGGGACCAGAUUGCCUAACCUAUCAAAUGCAUCGUCUUCGUCCGUCUCCAUGACCACUCUACAGCCAACCCCAUCGGUGCUUGGGGCGGUGCUCAAGGGUCUUCUGGGUUGCCACAUAGGAUCUCACGCGUGGUUUGGAGCACCAUACCGGAUAACCUAAUACUUCCAUUAAAACGAAACCCUUUUAGCGUGCAAGUUAAUAUUUUUAUAGACUUCGAUAAGUUUGUUCACACUUGCAUACCAAGCAAGAUUACACACAUCAUUAUCAUCAGAUAAUACACGAAGUCCAAAAUCUUAGUCUCCAUUGGGAAAAUAAAUGCGGUAGUAGAUGACAGGUGGAGCAAUGUAAGUGAAGUACUUUGUCACAAUAGAGUCUAGUCCAUUCAAGAGAAUUCAUCUAUGUCUACCAAGUUAACGUAAUAUCUCACAAACCCAUCAAUAUAUAUGAUACUUCAAAUUUUGGUGAACUUCCCACCAUGAUAAAAUUCAAUACGAACAUGGUAGGAUUUCCAUCUUCAAACAUCAAACAAACAAAGGUAAGAUUUGGAAUGGUUAGAAACUUAGAAUUAUGUUUUGCAGUGAGUUAAUCAAAAGCAACAUGUUAACCAUAAAUAAGCCUCCCGUGACUUGUCUCAUUUCCAUCCCGGUAGUCAUCCUAUAACUUUUGUAAAUUCAUUCUUUUCAUCCCUCCUAACCCACAUAAUUUAUUUAAUUUUGUUAAAAAAAUAAUUAAACAAUUACUAAUUUAAAAACAAAAUAAAACCAAAAUUAAAAAAAUUUCAUAAAAAAAGUAAACUACUAGAAAUGGUAAAUAAAUUCAUAGAACUACAAUUACAAUUUAAAGACAAUAGUUAUAUAAAUCUUGAAAAAAUCAUUAAAAGCCUACAAUAAAAUUCUACAUCUCCUAAAUUUUCCAUUUCUUGGCGAUCACCGAGUUCAACAUCCUGCACGUCAAAUGGUCAUGCAACUUAAGAAAGAAAUUGUAACACUUGGUUUUGAAUCGCUUCAUUAUUCGCAGCCGUGACCCGAUCAUUUGUUAUCAUAAGGCUUCGGGCCUUGGGGAGGAAAAGAUUUAACCCAUUUUGGAUAUGGGUAUUAUGUGUAACAUCCAUCAAAUUCAUAAAAAAUUAAAACUUUUUCAAGCAUCCAAAAACCAUUAUUUAUUACAAAAUGUUUUCAAAAUAGUUUCAUAUCAGAGUAUCCCAGAAAAUCAAAAUCAUAAAAUGUGAGGAGGUGCACGAUCAAGCCUUCGCCUUCCCGCGAUCAUCCGAAGUACCUGAAACAAAAUCAAAAACUAUAAGCCCGAAGCUUAGUGAGUUCCCCCAAAAUACCAACGCCAUACAAACCAGAAAGAUAUCAUAACAAAUAACAUGUGUAUAGAGUCUACAAUAUGACUGGACCGCCCUCAUCGUGCCUUUAGUCUAUCUGACCCACUCUCAAAAACUUCAACAUGUUUGGUCCGCCCUACCAAGCCUUCAGCAUGCCUUGACCGUUCUCCGGGCCUUCGGCCCGACUGGUAUGCCCCAUUGGGCCUUUAGUCUAUCCGGACCGCCCUGGGUAUCUUGGCCUACAGCACAAAGCAGGACCGCCUGAACCCACCCCCCAAGUAUACAAUCAACACAUAAAUAAUAAAAUGCUAGCAUGUACAAACAGUCAAACCAAUCUAACAGAUCACUAAUCAUAGCAUCAUCUUAUAUACUAGGAUACCGACCUAAUAGGUCACUAAACAUAACAUCAUCCUAUAUACCAGGAUACAGAUCUAACAGAUCAGCAAGCAUAUCAUCAUGCGAUAACCAGGAUAACAAUCCAAAAGGGCUGUCAUUGGUGCCUUCGACCUUGUUAGUAUAGUGAGGAAAACUCACCUCUCAAGUAGUGCUGAACCGAUAAAUCGAAUCUCAACUCAUAGCUCCAAACUCAACUGCAUGUGACCACCAUAUAACUGAUUACAUUAGAAUCCCAAAUUACCAAAAUAACCCUAGAAGUCAAACUUGGUCAACCAUGGUCAAAGUUAAAGUCAACAGUCAAGGUCAACAGUCCAUGUUGACCCAACUCGUUGAGUUCUUCUACUUACUCGUCGAGUACCUUCAUAUCUCAGAAGGUCGUGGAAAACUCGGGACAACUCGUCGAGUUCUUCGGUGUUCAGAAGACCGGGAAAACCCUAAUCAACUCGCCGAGUCAUCUCACCCACUUGUCGAGUUCAAUCAAUAUCCAGAAGGCGGGUAAAUCCUAUCCAACUCGUCGAUUUGGCUAAGCAACUCGUUUAGUUUUCCUAUCUUAACGUGUUUAGUCCUUUCCAGUCGACUCUAAGGCCCCAAACUACAAAUCUAGCCUCUUAGGACUAAGAUACCACGUAAAGUUGCUAACUUUACGUGCAUGUAAGGCAUCAAAGGGAUCAAAACACCAAUACUAAGCUAAAUAAGAGGUUUAGGGUAUGGAGGAUGGCCAAAGCUUGAUAAAGCUUAAGUCUUUAGACUUAAGGGGCCUGGAGGUGUCCAGAUCUGAAGUUGCAACUUCGAAUCAUGCUCAUCUUCCAAAAAUAUAAAAGGAUAAAAUUUUAACAUAUUUUAAAAGACAAAGGACUAAUGUUGUAAGUUUGUAAGGGCUCCUUUCAUUUACGUAUUGAGUUUAUGGGCCAAGAACCCAUUUCUACAAAAACAAUUAAAAGAGCUCAAUUUCUACAAACUUUUAUCAAAACUGCCACAUUUUUGCAAAAAACUUGAGAAUUGCAUGUUAGAUUAGGGCUAAGGAUCUACUCAGGAUUUCAUGUUAGGAGAGAUGUCUUUAUAUGCCUGAUUGUGAGCUUUUAGAAUUACAUGCUAUUAUGGUUUUCAAAUAAUUGGAUAUAAUGGAUUGAUUAGUAAUGCGUUGAUUAUAUUUUUCCGUUGUGCGAAUGUCGCUUACUUUGUGCUUUAUGAGACUCUUAGUGAUGUGGAUCAGCUACUAAAUGAAUAUGCUAAGUCACAUGUUGCACAUGUUAAAUAAUCUCAGAGUGAUGGAUUUAGCCCUAUUGUGAAGCUCUCGUUUGAGUCCAACCGUUCUAGGGUUGAGUCUUUUACUCAAAGGUUUAUCUGAUCUCUAUUGCAUGUGGCAAUGACAUGACAUCUUUAAUCUACUCACGCACAUGUGGCAAUGGCAUGACAUCUUUAAUCUACUUGGCAAUGACGUGGCAUAAACAAAGAUCCUAGUAGGAUGGUUAUCACCAGUCGAACCUUUCAAAUGUUAAAAUGUGACAUUUUAAACCAUAAAAUUACAAGUACAAGCCCUUUAAAUGCAAAAAAUAGUCAUGAUGGACCAUUUAAAAUAAUAUACGAAAGAUAGUUGGGCUACACUAACAAUUUUCCUAAAAAAUAAAAUAAUUGUUUUGACCUUUUAAAUUUAUCUAUUAAAAGUUUUAUAUAUUUUGUCAUAUUUUAUAACGGUGACAUAUUUGUAUAAAAACAAAACUAUUUAUUAAGCCAAAUAUUACCGAUUCAAGAGACAACAUAUUUUGUUGAAUAACUUACUAUAUUUUCUUUUUUAAAUCAAUUAUUUUAGAAUUUAAAAUGUUUUAGAAAAAAAAUUAUGAACCAAAAGGCGGACAUUAAAUUGUUAUUUUUGUUUUACUAUUAUAUCUUAUGAAAUAUUGUGUUAUUAUUAGUCUUUUGGGUUAGUAUCUUGAAAAGUGGUAAUAAGAGGAAUCGAACUUUAUGUUUGUCUAGAUGAAAGAAAAACGCCUUUACCAAGUGGGUGUUUGGGAGUUCUUUUUAAAAUGAAUUAUUAGCUUAUUGGGUUUUCAAAAAGCCAAUAAGUUAACAAAUUGUUUUGCAAAAACACAAACUUUAUAGGCAAAAAAGGGUUUUUCCAAGAAACUAUGAUUUCCUAACUUUUCAAAAAGCCAAUAAAUACUUUGAGAAAUAAUCCCAAACAUGCUAACUAGACAAAAGACACCUUGAUAAAUACUUUAAAAUGUAGAAGUAAUUUUGGUCCCCAAUUGUCUUGAGGGCCUAUUGGGAUGGGCCUAUCCAAACACCCAUUUAGGUAAAGGUGCACAAAAAACCGGUGCACAAAAAACCGGUUCAUGAUCGAAACCGGUUUGGAUGAAAUCGGUUCGGUUUCAAACAGACCUAUUUGUCGGUUUGGACCCGUUUAAAGUUCUAUCCAUUAAAAUAGGUUUGGGACCGGUUGGACAUAAACAUGCUUUGAUGCAUAAAUAUUUAACAUGGAGGUUAAUAUAAUAAGCAACAAGAAAGUUAAUAUACUUUCUAUUGUAAGCAAACUUCAAGCAGAGGCACCAAAAUAUCAGGACACCAGAAACUCCAAGUGAGGGUAAAAUGGUCAAUAUAAGGAAAACACUCCCCACAGCAAUCUUGGCAACAAACAGCAAAUUCAGAAAAUCCAAGUGAGGGUAGUUUUUUUCCCAGGUAACUUUUUUGUCCCCUGUGUGUUUUUAACUUAGCUAUUUUCAGCUUUAUGUGUCUUUUUAAACUUUGUGUUUUGUGUAUUGUUUAUAUUCAAGUAGCUGCAGAAAGCACAUUAGAGUGGGAUUUCUUCUUCUUUAUGUCCCCUGUAACGAGAAUCAAGACACAAACAGUGGCGGAUUUAGUGCAUCACAAGUGGGGUUUUGAUCCGGUUUGUAUACAGUUUCAAUCUGAUCAGGUUUCAGCUUAAACCGGUUUUGAGUUUGUUGACUUAAACCCAACUGGUAUUAAAACCGAUCCAAUUUCCAAAAAAAAAAAAAAUACUGUUUGUGUACCUCUACAUUUAGGUGUUAAAACAAAAUUGGCAAA
rnacentral:lncRNA from 1 species